AAAUACAAAGUAACUACAUGUUUUUCUAAAAUUUCCCAAUCUUAGUUACUUUAGGAAAAGUGAAUUGAUGCAAUCCCAUGAAAUUACACUUUGCACCCUUGCUAAGAAGUUAGUGGAGCGUGUGUGGUUUACCGGCACACUAAUUGGUUCUAAGCAAAGGUGGCAAAGGGUGAUUCAUUGUUUAUCAUAGUUUGAUGGAGCGUGUGUGGUUUACCGGCACAUCGAAUAGGUGAUCGUUACAAUGAAGGCACCAUGUAAAUUUGCAUGGUAAUUCACACCCACUUUGUGAUCCUCGGUAUCCCUGUCACAAACGAGAGGGGAUAUCGAGAUUUAAACAUGCCAUUGAAAAGUUUCAAUGAAUCUCAUCUAAACCUAGGAAUUCUCAAUACAUUUAGAAAUUAAAGUUAUUUCUUGUGGUGGAGAAUUAGUGAAUCGCGAUUCACUUACCUUCAAAUUGUUUGCAUGUUAGAUCACGGCAUCCCUUUUCUAAUAUGUAAAUAUUGUUGUUGGAUCCUAGCCCUAAUUUUUCUUAUUGGGUGAUAAUUAGGGGUUCAUAUUCUAAUCUAUCUUUGUCCUUUCUAUUUGUAGAUGUCAAACACAAACAACAUUGCUGCUAGGUCAUUCACAUUGAUGAGCCUUUGUCAAAAGGUCACUUUCGAUGGAACGAACUUUAGUGAAUGGAUAAGAUACAUUCGCACAAUUGCUCGCUAUGAGGACCAGGAGUAUGUCCUCGAUGAGAAGCUCGAGAAAAUCAACCCUGAAAUUGCUACUCCAGCUGAAAUGACCUCUUUUGAAACUCACGAGCGUGAUGCAACGAAGGUACAUUGCAUCAUGAUAGCCACCAUGAAUGUCAAAUUCCAAAAGUCCUAUGAGGACAUGUAUCCGUAUGAAGUGCACCAAGACUUGUUAGAGAGAUACCACCAGAACGUUAGGCAAGAGUGUUAUGAGAUUUUCACUAACAUGAUUUCCGCUAAAAUAGGUCAUGGAAAGUCUUUUACCGUGCACCUGCAGAAGAUGCAAAGGUAUGUCGAUCGUAUUCGCAAGUUGAAUGUUGACUUUAAGGAAGACUUGGCGAUCGACAUGGUGGCUCACUCUUUGCCUCCGUGUUACAAUCAAUUUAGGAUGACCUACCACAUGAACAAAGAAGAGGUCACCCUAAGCAAGCUCCAAGGUCUCCUUAGGGUUGCUGAAAGAAACCUAAAGGAAAAGUCUGUUGUACCCACUCCCAAUCCACCCGUUGCUCCUGUUUUGGCCAUUGGGCAAGGAAGAGGCCAGAAGAGGAAGGCUCCGUCUAAGAGCCACCGCAUGGGAAAGUCCCGAGAUGGUUCCUCUUCUAGUGGGACUAAAGUUGAUCCUGCUAAGCCAUGUCCUAACCCUGAGGAGGCAGAGUGCCAUCAUUGCCACAAAAUAGGGCAUUGGAAGAGAAGCUGCCCAGACUACCUACAAGCCAUAAGGGAAGGAAAGAUCAAGCCAUCUUUCGCAGGUAUUUAUACAAUUAAAUCUAACGAUUCAUCUCAUGCUAUUUCUUGGGUCCUUGAUACCGGUUGUGGUUACCAUAUUUGUUCUGAAUUGCAGGGACUAAGAAGAAAUUGGGAUGUGGAGCAUGGAAGAAUAAAUCUAAUCAUGGGGAACAGAAGAUCGUCUCAUAUGACCAACAUUGGAGUGUAUUCUUUAGUGCUUAGGAAUGGUUUGUCUUUAGAUUUGAACAAUUGUUGCUAUUCGCUAGAAAUGGCUAGAAACAUCAUUUCAUUUCAUGGUUUGUUUAGACAAGGUUUUAGAUUUUCUUUUAAUAAUGAGAAUGGUUCUAUUCUUUCUUACCCAAAUGGUAUCUUAUAUUUUGAAGCUAUACCAUGUAAUGGAAUUUAUGAAACUCUUGUGAUUGUAGAUAACUUAGGAAAUGAUGUUUUAUGCAUGGAUUCUUCCAAUGGUAUGGAUGGAGUAUUCUUGUGGCAUUGUCAAUAAGAAGCGCAUAGCCCAACUCCAAAAGGAUGGAGUGUUGGAGUCAUUCGACCUUAGGGAAGAUGACACAUGCAAGUCUUGUUUGCUUGGAAAGAUGACUAAGUUGUUGGGUUUUGAGCAUUCUAACACUCCUAAGUGUACAUGCAACCCUAAAUACCUUGGAUCUAUGUUUUCUCUAUUAUACAUGCAAAUAAGAACUUCCAAGGUAUUAUCCUAAUCUAGCAUAUAAAACAAUGAAUAUAACAAGAUAGAAUACAUACCUCUUUCAUGUAGAAAGUCUUCAUGAAGCUUGAGUGCCUAGUGCCCCAAGUGUGACACCUCAAAUGGAAUCACAAUCAUCAAAACACUUAGAAUAGCUUGAGAGAAUUCUACAACUCAUGAAAUCGGCUAGCCCUUUCACUUCACACUCUAGUCGCCGAUUUUGGUCAAGAAUAAGAUGCUUAUAUAGUUAGGGUUACACCAUGUAAACCCUAAUUGACAUGGCCUUUCAUUUCCAUGAUCCAUGGGUACAAAUACACCAUGCAGCAUCCAUGGACCAUCCUAUGGGUUUUAGCCCAACUUGAUUAUCCAUGGAGCAUUAGCCCACUAUACAAGUAUGGAUGAUUUACACAAUCAACCCAUAUAUUUAAUUAGUCUUCUUUUGAUCACUUAAUUAAUCCUAGAUUAAUUCUUGAUCAAUACUAAUUAAAUAAUCUUAUUAUUCUUAUUAUUAAUAUACUAGAACUUAUAAUAUAUUAAUAACCAUAAGUGUCUUAUUUCUCUCAUUAUAGUCUAUCCAAGUGCAUGAUGGUAUGCAACCCAAAUGGACCAUGCCGGGUCGGGUCAAGUCUUACCAAUUAUAGUUAUGGACUUAGACAUUAAUCCAACAGUCUCCCACUUGGAUAAGUCUAAAACUAUUAUUGCGUAUGACUUCAGGAACCAACUGGCAAUCGUAGCUCUCAAAAGCUUCUGUCGAACUCUGACCUUGUAGAUGAACUCUGACCUUUGUCAAUGACUUGUCCAUUAGAUAAGGGAUCAUAUAUUCCUCCAUUCUAGAUAUCAUAUGGACUGAGACAUGGAUUAUAAUCAUUCUCUCUGUCCAUUUGUUGUUUCCCGAUUUCCGAUUUAUGACGACUGACUAAUUGAACAAAUCAAAUCAGUCCUGGCCCGGCCGAGCACUUCCAUUUGUCAUCAUCAAAUCAUCGAGGGGCCCACAGAUAUCGCUUUUAUCCCGAAGGUAAAAGGAAUGGAUAAACUUCGACUCAUAUGGCUUGUUCUACUACUUGUUGAAUCAUACACAAAGGCACGUUUUAUAGCACCGAGUUACCAAAUGCGUUUUCGUGCAAUCAAUGUACUAUCAACUCAUAGUAACAACUCAUAUCUCUAGGUUUGAAGAAUAUAAGAUAUUAUCGUCUCAUGAUCACUCGUGAUAAAAUCCAUGAAGUGAUUCCAAUGAGCGCGGGUUGAAUCCAAUACUCAGAACUUAUGAGCACUCAUGAGUGUUGUAGCCCUUUGUCCAACACCUUAGACCUCUACAAGCCAACCCAUGACAGUCUUAAUUCAUAUCUACUUCCAACAUAUGACCGACUGUGGAUGGUUUGAAUAACUUAGUCAUUCCGGAAGAAUAACCUAGUUUAUUCGGGAAGUCAAAACAUGCAAAGUGAAACACAAUAAUAAUUGAAUCCAAUAUGGUAUCAAAACUUUGAACAUAAAUAAAACACCUUUUAUUUAUCACCAUAUGAUUACACAUUAUUCAUUGUAUACUGUUUCAGCUAUCAACUUUAUUCUUGAAUUUAAAACAAUAGUUGUCCCAUGCUCCAAGCAUGUACACUAUGUUUUCUUAAACACUAGUCAUGCCACACACCAAGUAUGCAUACUAUGUUUGUCUAUGAUCUUUACUUUGUGAACUAGAUCAAUUGAACAUAACUUCAAUGAUUCUCUUUUCACACUCCCAAAUCCUUACUGCAAAUGCAAGAAUUCCAAAUUCAUGCCAUUUACUGAAAUCUGUUAGAUUCUAAACUUAUAUGCAUUGAUCCUCUUGUAAUGAUUAUGCACAAAGUCAGAAAGACUUGACAACAAUCAUUACAGAGUAUUCCAAAGGAGAUCAGCUCCUUGGAAACAUCCUUCUUGCAUUAAGUUUCCUAAUCUUAAACAGAUUGAAAAUUCUAACUUUGAAACAUUUCCAGAUUCCAUUUUGACUAUCACUUCUGAACAAGAGUUGCCUCCUUACAGAUUAUGUCAAUAUGGUCCUUCCAGAAUUAUCACUAUACUUCCAACUGUCCUUGAGCAACCAAUCUUUGGUAAACCUUAGAUUGUCCUCGACAAUUGUUUAAUCCUUUUAGUCAUAUCCAGUUCUAAACCUUUUCCCUUCUUAAUGCCCCAGGCAUUUGGAAAAUUUUAGAACGGAUGAAUAUAGCACAUGUAAUCGAUCCUAUAUCCGAAGCAUAUGGGACACGAUUCAUGAUGUCUUACAUAAAGACUAAACCAGUCUUUUGCUAUAAUAUUUCCAUUUCAAUUUGCCAAGUUCUCAUAAUUCAGAUUAUGAAAAGGGAUGCCGUAAUCAUAAUCGAAUUUUAGAACGCAAAUAAUGGACCCAUAUACAGAAUUUCCUUAUGUUGAGCCAUUCCAACAUGAAAUUCAUAUAUAUCCUUGACUAAAUGAUUAAAACCUCACGAUCUAAGCUUAUAGAUUUGAGAUGAAGUAUAAUUUCCUCUCCCUUAAUUAUAGCAAAACAACUUUUUCCCAAUUGAAACUUUUGUUUUCUAUAAUUAACAUUGCUAACUUGCAAUACUUAUCAUAAUUAUCAUGCUCCCACUAACAUGAUGAUUAUUAGCAUAACACUUAUGCUCCCACUAGCUUUGACAUGUACUCAGAAAUCAGCUGGACUUCUAGAAAUCAAUACUUCAUUGACUUUCUUACCAAAGUUCAGAUUUCUGAUGCUAGAUUGUUUUGAUAAAACUUUAUCAAAAUCAUACACCUUCCCUUAGAUAGCACACUUGUGUGUCUAAACAAUUAUGAAGAGGUAUGCCGUAAUCAUAAUGGUUAGACCUUUUUGCCACUUCUCACAAGUCCAGGUUAGUGUGCCGGUAAACCACACACGCUCCACUAACGACUUUGAGAAUGCAAAUAUCACAAUUGCUAUCUAGCUAAAAUCUACUUAGUGAAAGUGUUUCCUCACCAUCAUUUUCAUGAAUCGGAGAGAAACCUUAUGACACUUAGAUUUAAUGGUGUAUGUGUUCUUAUCCAUGUGAAUUGUCAAAACCAUAGUCACAAGACAAGGAUAAUGACAAAUCCAAACUCAUAUGGACUGAACUCAAUCUUAAUUUCUUGCCACCUGGCAGCUCAAGGGCCUGCCAUUGCUUCCAAGUUGUUGUGCAACAAAUUGAGAACUCUAAGAACUCAUAUGCAAAGCCAACUUUAACUGGAAUGGGCACAGAAUAUGUCAACACGAUAGGUUAUGAACCUCAAGUCGUGUGCUAGUGAAGAACUUCAGGUUUUAUUCUUGAUUAGUUCUUGAGACUUUCAAGACCUUUAAGACUCCCACUGUCCUCUUGACAUAUAAGACUCCCUUGUCAAACAUCCAAGAGAUAGUGCGGAUUCUAAUCAAGAAAAACACUUUACCCAAUUGGCCUAAGUUGGUCUUUGUUUUAUCCAAAACAUCACAACUUACCAAUUUCAAAUGUACAAGAGUAGAAAACUUUUACUCUUACAUUUGACAAGUGUUUUAAACCUUCUUUAAGACAUGUCACUCAAAUGACAAUCUUGGAGUAUGACUCUAAGACUUGUAUUGGAACGAAGUAUGACUCAUCUUCUUGAUUUAACCAUUUCAACAAUUCAAGUUCCUCUUCUUAGUCAUAAGAAUGCACUAAGAUUUCCUUAGAGAACUAAUUUUGAUAUGGUUUCUUAAUCAUUAAGAUGAUCACAAAACUGAUACUAAAGUACUCUCCCAUCUUUUCAGAUUUGAGAAACUUUUAUCCUUCUGCCUAAUUUGAUUCUUCUUAUUCGCUCUGCCAUACAUUGGAACCUUUUCCAAUGUCUCAGAGUUACACUUAAGCUUGUAAGUAUAAUCAUAUUUACUGAGCUUUAGUAAACUAUGACGAAUAGUCUUAUCAAUCUUUUGUGGUGGACUUAAUCAGUGCACAAGAAUGUGUACUCGAUCCCUUAGUCCUUUACUUGACUCACACAUCCAUGUGGCCGAGUAAUUAGUCUUAAUUUUCCAAAACUUGAAAGUUCUCAUUCAUCAUGCUAUACAACUUGCAUGAUUCCAAGUUCCGGUCCAAUUGAAACUUGGGUGAUGAGAAUCUUUCCUUAUUUGGUAAAUCUAGACAUUACCACAAAUGAAAGAAUCAAUUUCAUAUUUCCACUCUUGCUCUUAAUGGAAUCAUAUAAGCAACAAUUUUUCCUCAAAAGCCAUUGUAAGGAUAUUUUAAAAUAAAUAAAAUCAAAAAAAUUUUCUUUUAUUUUAAAACUUUGCGGAAAAACUUAUCCUUACAAUCCAUAUGAAAACUUGUUGUUAUCUAUUCCUAAGCAAUAUCUCAUAACUCCUAAGAAGUUGCUCAAGAAUCCGAUCUUCAAACUAUGCGAUAGAAAUCCAUCUACGCCAUCAGAUUCAGCAUAUUCUUUCUUUAAGUUUCUUCACUUUUCUUUGAUUCUUAAAACAUCACCAUGUGACCCAGUCACAUCAUGUAUCAGGAAUCUCAGAAUAGAAACUUAACAGAGUUAGAUAGUGGACUUUACCUGAAGUAGAGUCAAACUUAUUGACUUUAACAUCCUUAGGUAAAUUUGGCAGCUUCGCAACCAAUGCCCCUUCCUUUGGCAAUAUAAACAUAUGGACCCUUUGAUAAUGGUACACGAGACUAUCACAGACUUAGCUUUUCUCUUUACCAUUUGGUCAACCGAGUUGACUAUGGCCGAUCCCUUUCCAUUGGGAAGAGAAUGCUUUACUGGAUAUCCAAUGUCAUCAUUGUCAAUGUCCAUAAAGUUUUAGGAAGUUGAUCUUAGCAAAUAGAUAAGAUCAUUAAGGGUCUUGUCAUAGUCUGUUUCAUAGGUGUCCCAAAGGAACUCACUAUGUGACUUAGAAAGUGAUUGAACCACCAACUUUCUCAAGACUUUGACACCCAACUCUCCCGGCUUGUCAAUAUGUGACUACAUCUCCAAGAUGUGAUCACACCUAGACCUUGCCUUGCCAAUAGGGCUUGAGUGACCUUAAACUUUUCAAGAACUUGUGGGUUAGGGAGAAUAAUUGGAGGAGGAGAAAGAAGUAUGAUAUCCAUGGGACAUCAUCUUCAUUAGGAAACCUUGUUUCAAGAGAUUUGGGAAGAUCAUAGGUGUCUAAACCAGACAUCUUUUGGGAGAUAUUCAAGAUAGUUGAUUUAAAGUCCUUAAUAUGACACCCAAUAUGAAAUAUUAAGGCUAGGACCCAACAAACUAUUUUAUAACUUAGAAGAGGUAUGCCGUAAUCCAAGCUAUAAAAUAUUUGAAGGUAGGUGAAUGACGAUUCACCAAUUUCCACCAAGAUAAACGAAAUGUAUUAUUAGGUUUUAAUUGGUUUUGAAACUCCUAGAUCUUUGAGAUUCAUUGAACUGUUCAAAGGCAUGUUUCAAUCUCGAGUGUGCCCUUCAGGUUUUGUGACUGGGAUGCCGAGGAUCACAAAACAAGGUGUGAAGUAACCAUGCAAAUCACUUGGUACCCUUAAUAAAUUACCCCUCAAUCGAUGUGCCGGUUAACCACACACGCUCCAUCGAUACUAUGAUAAAUAUUAAGUCACCCUUUACCUACCUUGUUAAGUCCAAGUUAGUGUGCCGGUUAACCACACACGCUCCACUAACGACUUAGACAAAGUGUAAAGUGUAAUUUCAUGGAUUAGCACCUUAUUCACAUUUUUCCUAAGUAACUAAGAUUGGGUAUUAUUAAGAGUUUAGUUACUUAGUAUUAUCAUUAAUACUUUUAAUGAAGGGAGAAUUCUAGUCCUGUCAAACCCGUUCGGCUAACGACCCUCCACCAGUCAAGCAAGCGGUGGGUGAGAGUGGACACCCAUUAAGUUGCCAUUUUAUAGGCAACAACCUUAUACCCACCUUAUAGACCGGCUUCGUGAAUGAGGCGUACUAGCGGUAAGACUGACUUUACUCUUAUACAUAUAUAUAUUAUUAACUUAUAAUAUUAUAAAGUAUAAGGGUUGAAUUUUAACUUUUAAAAUUCUAAGGGCUAACUUGGAAUUAAAGUAUUCAUAAGUGAAAACUUUACAAAUUCCAAAACUUGAGGGCAAGUUUUGAAACUAUUCAAAACUAAUUAAUUCCAUAACUUAUGUGUUUAAAGUAGUUUUAAUCCAAAAACUCUUCAAGUUCCAUAACUUGAGGACAAGUUAUGGAAGACUUUAAACUAAUAAAAGAAUUAACUUUUCUUUAUUUUAUAACUUAUGGAAUUAAUUAAGGUUACACUUUUUUUUUUUUUAUUUUAUUUUAUUAAAUGAAGAGACUCUUGGUCCUCCAUAACUUGAGGACAAGUUAUGGAGUCAUAAAACCAUUUAAUUAGAACUAGACUCUUCAUUUUUGUAACCUUUGCCAAUUUUUAUGAGUUUUAUGAUUCUUAAAUGUGACUUUUCAUAUAACUUGAGGACAAGUUACAAAAACACAUUUUAGAAUCAAUUCUUAGAUUAAUUUGGAUUAAAACCAACUAUCACAUAAUUUUAUUCAUUAAUCUAAAUUCACUCAUAAAACAAGGUAACACAAAAAACUUUUGGUGAUCCAUAACUUAUUCUUAAGUUAUGGAAUCCUUUAAAACAUUAACACCAAAUUUUGUAACUCCAAAAAAACUUUGAAUCAAUUUUUUUUUUAAAACCUUUUCAUAUCCAUAACUUAUGGAGGUUUCAAAAAAUAAAACUCUUUAGAUCAAACUUUUAAAACUAAUAAAAUAAUCAUAUUAUUUUAUCUUUUAUUAAAUUUGACCUAAUUCAACUCAUAAAGCAAAUUAUUCAAAUUUUACAAAUAAUUAGUUUUUCACAAGAACAAGUAAUUAUCUUAAAAUUUGACAAACUUCAUGUUUUUUUUUUUUUUUUUUUUCAACUUUGAAAAUAAAAUAUUUGCAUCAAUAUAACAGAAAACAACCCGUGGCUCUGAUACCACUGUUGGGUUUUGAGCAUUCUAACACUUCCUAAGUGUACAUGCAACCCUAAAUACCUUGGAUCUAUGUUUUCUCUAUUAUACAUGCAAAUAAGAACUUCCAAGGUAUUAUCCUAAUCUAGCAUACAAAACAAUAACUAUAGCAAGAUAGAAUACAUACCUCUUUGGUGUAGAAAGUCUUCAUGAAGCUUGAGUGCCUAGUGCCCCAAGUGUGACACCUCAAAUGGAAUCACAAUCAUCAAAACACUUAGAAUGACUUGAGAGAAUUCUACACUCAUCAAAAUCGGCUAGCCCUUUCUUCACUAUCUCUAGUGGCCGAUUUUUCCUCAAUAAUAAGAUGCUUAUAUAGUUACACAAUUAGGGUAAACUCUUAAUUGUCAUGGCUUUCCAUUUCCUUGGAUCCAUGGGUACAAAUACACCAUGGAGCAUCCAUGGACCAUCCUAUGGGUUUUAGCCCAACUUGAUUAUCCAUGGAGCAUUAGCCCACUAUACAAGUAUGGAUGAUUUACACAAUCAACCCAUAUAUUUAAUUAGUCUUCUUUUGAUCACUUAAUUAAUCCUAGAUUAAUUCUUGAUCAAUACUAAUUAAAUAAUCUUAUUAUUCUUAUUAUUAAUAUACUAGAACUUAUAAUAUAUUAAUAACCAUAAGUGUCUUAUUUCUCUCAUUAUAGUCUAUCCAAGUGCAUGAUGGUAUGCAACCCAAAUGGACCAUGCCGGGUCGGGUCAAGUCUUACCAAUUAUAGUUAUGGACUUAGACAUUAAUCCAACAUAAGUCACCCUUCACAAGUACGUGUGAAGGGGGUGAAGGUCUACUGGACCUAAUACAUACCGAUGUACGUUGACCGUUUAGAUCAACCACGAAGUAUGGGAAGCGCUUCUAUGUGACUUUUACCGAUGACUAUAGUAGAUAUGGGUAUAUCUACUUAAUCAAGCAAAAGUCAGAAACGUUUGAAAAGUUCAAAGAGUUCAAGAAUGAAGUGGAGAAUCAAUUGGGCAGGAAAAUCAAGAUGCUUCGAUCCGAUCGAGGAGGAGAGUACCUAAGUCUUGAAUUCCACGACUAUCUCAAGGAGUGUGGAAUAGUUUCACAAUUGACGCCUCCUAGGACACCGCAGUUGAAUGGUGUGGCAGAAAGGCGUAAUCGAACCUUAUUGGAUAUGGUUCGCUCUAUGAUGAGUCGUGCUUCACUACCUAUCUCUUUUUGGGGGUAUGCCUUAGAGACUGUCGUCCAUAUCCUUAACCGAGUCACUACUAAGAAGGUUGCCAAAACACCUCACGAGAUGUGGACAUGAAAGCUCGCUCGUUGGAACAUAUCAAGGUUUGGGGUUGCGAGGCUUUCGUAAGACGAGAUACUCACAACAUGCUUGAACCUCGUACUGAGCGAUGUAUUUUCAUCGGCUACCCACAGAAAUCCUUUGGAUAUCUCUUCUAUAGACCGAAGGACAAUGUGGUAUUUGUUGCGAGGAGAGGAAUUUUUCGAGAGCAAGAACUCAUACGCCAAGGAGACAGUGGGAGGCAAAUCGAACUUGAAGAGAUUCAAGAAUCGAUAGAUGAAGGAACCUCUACCGCUGGCACUUAACCCGAGGAGGAAACUCCGGUUGAACCAAUUGACGAGUCCUUACCUCUUAGACGUUCCGAUAGAGUUAGAGUUCAUCCCCAGUUUUAUGGUUUUCAUAUUACUACCGAAGGGGACACGUAUAUUAGUGAUGGUACACUAAUAAAUCUUGAUGAACCUAAUAGCUAUAAGGAAGCCAUGGCAGGCCCGGAGUCUGCAAAAUGGAAAGAGGCAAUGGAUAGCGAGAUCCAAUCCAUGUAUGAUAACCAAGUUUGGAAUUUGGUUGAUUAUGUGCCCGGACGUAAGACCGUUGGGUGCAAAUGGAUCUUCAAGAAGAAGACCGACGUGGAUGGAAACGUGCACACAUAUAAAGCGCGAUUGGUUGCGAAGGGCUUUACUCAAACUCCCGGAGUUGACUAUGAUGAGACCUUCUCACCAGUUGCGAAGAUUAAAUCUAUUAGAGUGAUGCUAGCUAUUGCCGCAUUUCAUGAUUAUGAGAUUUGGCAAAUGGAUGUCAAGACCGCUUUCCUUAACGGAAAGUUGGCUGAGGAUGUUUACAUGGCUCAGCCAGAGGGGUUUGUGGAUCCGAAGCAUCCGAAUAGAGUGUGUAAGCUUGAGAAGUCCAUUUAUGGACUUAAGCAAGCGUCUCGCAGAUGGAAUCUUUGCUUCGAUGAGAAAGUCAAAGAGUUUGGAUUUGUACGAAGCGAAGACGAAUCUUGUGUAUAUGUCAAAGCCAGUGGGAGUAUAGUAAGCUUCCUCGUUCUAUAUGUCGAUGACAUAUUACUCAUAGGAAACGACAUCCCGACUCUGCAGGAGGUUAAGUCCUGGCUCGGGAAGUGCUUCUCUAUGAAGGACCUCGGAGAGGCUUCCUAUAUUUUGGGAAUAAGGAUAAUGAGAGAAACAAGUAAGAGACUAAUAGGACUUAGUCAGAACACUUACUUAGAUAAGGUACUAAAGCGUUUUAGUAUGAAAAAAUCAAACAAGGGAGAAUUACCGAUACAAAGUAAUGUCAAGUUGAGUAAGACUCAAAGUCCGAGUACCGAAGCUGAAAUAGCAGACUUGUACUCACCUUGAUGUAGCCUUUGCUUUGAGCAUGGUUAGCAGAUAUCAAGGGAAUCCUGGCAGAGCCCAUUGGAUUGCGGUUAAGAAUAUCCUUAAAUACGUUUGUAGGACAAUCAAACAAGGGAGAAUUACCGAUACAAAGUAAUGUCAAGUUGAGUAAGACUCAAAGUCCGAGUACCGAAGCUGAAAUAGCAGACUUGUACUCACCUUGAUGUAGCCUUUGCUUUGAGCAUGGUUAGCAGAUAUCAAGGGAAUCCUGGCAGAGCCCAUUGGAUUGCGGUUAAGAAUAUCCUUAAAUACGUUUGUAGGACGAAGGAAUGGUUCUUAAUCCUCGGAGGGAGUGAUGACUUGAAGGUGCGAGGGUAUAGUGACACCAGCUUUUAGAGCGACAGGGACAGUUACCGUUCGCAGUCGGGCUGGGUCUUUACCCUGAAUAGAGGAGCAGUAAGUUGGAAAAGUUCCAAGCAAGAAACCAUAGCUGAUUGAACGUGCGAAUCAAAGUACAUUGCAGCGAGCGAAGUGUCGAAGGAGGCAAUAUGGUUAAAGAACUUCAUUGGUGAUCUUGGAGUUGUACCUGCCAUAAAGGAGCCCAUGGAGAUUUUCUGUGAUAAUGAAGGAGCGGUUGCCUUGACCAAGGAACCGAGGGAUCAUGGUAGAUCAAGACAUAUCGACAGAAAAUAUCACUUUAUUAGACAUCGUGUAGAAGAAGGACAACUCGUAGUGAAGAGGAUAUCAUCAGAAGAUAACCCAGCAGAUCCGCUUACGAAGGGACUGAGUAGGGUUAAGCACUUGCAGCAUGCUAGGAGUAUUGGGCUGAAGGAUGAUAUUAGUAUAGAUUAGAUAGUAGUAGAAACGUGUAAUAGAUAAAUGUAAUUAACAUUUGAUGAUUAAAUAAAAGAGUAUUAUUUAUGAGUAAUGUUACUGUCUUAUGUUAAUUGUUUAACUAUUGUUUCAUUUUGCAUGUUUUGACUUCCAGAAUAAUUGAGUUUAUUAAGAAUAAUCGAAUUAUUCAAAUUGUCCACAAUCGUUCAUAUGUUGGAAGUAGAUAUGAAUGAAGAUUGUCGUGAAUUGGUGUGCAGAUUGGCUAAAUGGUAUUAGACAUUGCAAAAGGUUGCUGCAACGUUCAUGAGUGCUUAUGAACUGGUUUUGAGAAUUGGAACAAACCCGUGCUUGCUGGAAUCACUUUAUGGAAUAUGAUAAAAAAAAGGGUGAUCGCAAGACGAUAAUAUUAUAUAGUCUUAAAACCAAGAUAUAUGGUUUGUUAUUUGUUGAUUGGUUGUACAUUGAUAAUGCGAAAUCACAUAAGUAACUUGAUGUUAUAAAACGCAUUGUUGUGUAUGGUUGAUUAAUGAAUAAGUAAAUGCAUAUAAGUCGAAGUUUAUCUGUUACUUUUAUCCCAAGAGGGUAAAAGCGAUAUCUCGGCCGCUCGAUGAUUUGAUUUGACUUAUGUGUCGGGCCUGGUCAGAACUGAAUUGAUGUGUUCGAUUAAGUUCUAUGUCAAAUGAAUCGGAGAUCGAGAAACGAAAUGCUGGACAAAUUGUUCCAUAGAAUUGUUAGCAUGAUAUCUAAACAGAGGACUGUACGAUCCCUUAUCUAAAAGACAAGAUUGAUUAGAUCAGAGUUUGACAGUGUCUUUGAGAGCUACGAUUGCUAAUCGGAAUAUACUUGUAUAUAUAGUUACUAGACUUAUCCAAGUGGGAGACUGUUGGAAUAGUGUCUAAGGCUACGACUAUGUUAGGCAAGUAUUUGACCCGGUUGAGCAUGGUCCUUUUGGGUGGCCUUCACCAUAGCAACUUGACAGGAUGAUUUAUAAUGAGUUAAGGAAUAAUAAUAUUAUUAUUUGAUUAAUAUAAGUCAUAAAUUAAUUAGGAAUUAAUUUGGUGACUUAAAGAAAUUAAGGGGUAUACACUGUCAAUUGUUUGAUAGUUGCACUUUGGGCUAUACAUCCUUUAUGGAUAAGGGGUGGACGCUUUCUAGGGCUAAGGAUAGCCAUAAAAUCGUCGAAGGCUUAUCAUGGAAAGGAUUUGGAUUGCUUAGGGAUUAAGUUAUCCAAUUAGGGUUUAAGGGUGAAACCCUAGGUGCCUUAUAAGUAUAAAUAGACCUCUAGGGCUAAGGGAUUUCGUAACUUAUGCUUUGAGUAAAAACCCUGGCCGAUUUGAUUCCCUCUCCUCUCUCUUAAAUCAUCCUCCUUGCCAGUUGGUGUUUGUAAGCCAUUAGAGGAGUGACAAUUGUGACUCUAAAGCCUCAAGGACAACAAGAUCAAGCAAGUGAUUCAAGGUAAUCUUCUAAUCUCUGAUUUCAUAUUAUUGUUAUUGUAUAUUAGCCAUUAGAAGUCUUGGAUUCAACGUAUGUUGAAUUAGAGAAACCUAGAUCCAAGCAUUAGGGUUGCAUGUGCACAUAGGUAUGUUCAUAUGGCGAAAAACCAUCAAGGAGAACAUAUACAACUAUACUAGGAGAAGAACAUAUACAACUAUACUAGAAAGAGAACAUAUACAACGUUACUAGAACGAGAAACAAUACAUUACUAUACUUGCUAGAUAGAUAGAGAACACACAUUACAGCUAGCACAUGUAGAACAUUUCGGUACAUUACAUAUACAUAAAUACAUUGACAAAAAUUGUGAUCCACUGUAUCGGAGCAUGCCUUAAUUGUCAUGGCUCGAGUUGUAGCCAGAAUUCUCUUGGAGGGAGAGCGUGAGUUUGCGUAUAGAUCUAUACUGGAUUGACUAUCCUACACCUUGCUGCUAGCUACAGCCGGACCUGCAGGUCUGCGGGUGCCAAACGUCAUUUCUUNNNNNNNNNNNNNNNNNNNNNNNNNNNNNNNNNNNNNNNNNNNNNNNNNNNNNNNNNNNNNNNNNNNNNNNNNNNNNNNNNNNNNNNNNNNNNNNNNNNNNNNNNNNNNNNNNNNNNNNNNNNNNNNNNNNNNNNNNNNNNNNNNNNNNNNNNNNNNNNNNNNNNNNNNNNNNNNNNNNNNNNNNNNNNNNNNNNNNNNNNNNNNNNNNNNNNNNNNNNNNNNNNNNNNNNNNNNNNNNNNNNNNNNNNNNNNNNNNNNNNNNNNNNNNNNNNNNNNNNNNNNNNNNNNNNNNNNNNNNNNNNNNNNNNNNNNNNNNNNNNNNNNNNNNNNNNNNNNNNNNNNNNNNNNNNNNNNNNNNNNNNNNNNNNNNNNNNNNNNNNNNNNNNNNNNNNNNNNNNNNNNNNNNNNNNNNNNNNNNNNNNNNNNNNNNNNNNNNNNNNNNNNNNNNNNNNNNNNNNNNNNNNNNNNNNNNNNNNNNNNNNNNNNNNNNNNNNNNNNNNNNNNNNNNNNNNNNNNNNNNNNNNNNNNNNNNNNNNNNNNNNNNNNNNNNNNNNNNNNNNNNNNNNNNNNNNNCACUCUUUCAAAAUAACUUGUAUCCUCAGGUCAAACAUAGACAGGUACUGAUCCAAGGUUUAUAGAAGAUGGAGCUUGUUCAAGACGCAUCUUUCUUUUUGAUUUAUGCUUUAGUGUUUACUACUUUUCAUUGUUGUGAUAUUGUACAUGAUGUCCUCCGCCCCAGAACGUUUCCGCCGUUCUUGGUUUUGGGGUGUGACAUGUCCCUGCCGGCUAUAUGUAAUAGUGAGUGUAACUCUGGGUAGCAUUAACUGUGUGUACACUUCGAGAUGUGUGUUUAAUUAAGGUUUAAAUGUGAGCUCGUAUGUGACCAUACUUAGUGAUAGUAGUAUAGCAGCUGACCCUCCAGGUCACCAGUAGUGUAGUAGUGUUUUGUCAUCCCUGGGCCUAAAAAGGCUCAGAAUGUAGCUAGCAGUCGAGAUGGGGGAAAAUCCGUCCCAUAUAGAUCUAUAUAGGUAGUGGUCGCUCUCCCUCCAGGAGACGAUGGUUACCCGAUGAUCGCACAACGAUAGGUCGUAGAGAGAAAUAGUGCAUCACAUUCUGUUGUAGUAUUUUCUCUCAUAUGGUACAUAGUUUUCUCUUAGUAUACCGUGUUCUGUUCUCUUGAUGUAGUUUAUAGUAUUUCUCCUUAUAGUAGAUAGUGUUUCCUUAGUAUAGUGUAUAGUGUACUCUUUGCAUAGUGUAUUGUACUUAUAGUCUUGUAAUUGUACUGACCAUAGUGUGUAUCAUAGUAAUAUCAAAAUUGAGUGGUAAUUUUUAACUAUACCUAUUAUAGUUAAAUAGAUGACGUGAUUGAGUGUCUUCGAUAUGUAGGAGUAUCGAACUAGAGUGAAAACUUUUAUAUCUAACACAAAUAUACAAGAUAUAUAACUAAGUAUUCAAUGACAGUCGGACAGAUAACCUAGCACCCUAAGUCCACAAUCAAACAAGAAUAGGAAAUAAGGUCAGUUAUCGGUUCUAAGUCCUUCAAUACUUACUUAUAUAAAUAUAUUGGUGUAGACAUGAUUUGAAAAUAAUUUAAGAUUUCAAAACAUUGAAAAAUUGUUUUAAUACAAUUGAUUUAUGAAAAUGAGUUUGAUAAAAAUUUGAAAUAACUUUACUGAACAGGUACUUUGAAAAUAUAGAGAUUCCUUUUUUAUAGCAAGUUUUAAAUCGCGUGUGAUUGAUACUAUAAUAUAUUGGAUUCAACUUGUAUACCCCCCAUAAAAGUAAUUUAAAAACAUUUGAAACAUUAAUUAAGGGGUAUGAACUCACCGUUAAGGUAGGGUUCGAGUGUGUGAUUCGUAUGAGUGUCGAGUGUCAACAGGUGUUCUAUAUGCAAGUAAUCCCUAUUAAUCAUAUGGUGACACAUAUAUAUGUUAGAGCUAGGGUGCUUCAUGACUAAACAUGAUGGGGAAUCACCCUAAGGGAUUGAAAUCACUAGGGCUAAGUGUCCCCAGUUCUAUACCCAAUGAUCUAUACAAGUUUAAGGCCAAAUAUUGGUAUUAGGGUGUGUGUAUGGCCAUAAAGGUGAGUGUGCGACUGGGGAAUGCGGUCAGACUUGUGUGUGAGGCUACACACUAGAGUGUGCGGCCGUACAGGGUGUGUGUGCAGCCGUACACAGGGGUGUGCGGCCGUACACUCCUUGUUUGAGUUCUAUGUGUCGAUUGUGGAGCCUUACUCUCACUUUGGAGGGUGUUAUGAGUGUGUGCGGCCACUUGAUGAAGGUGUGCGGCCGCACUCCUUCAUGGGAUGAAGAACAUGAAGAAAGCUAUGAGUUUGAGGCUUGGAUUCAAGUGUUUUACCUCUAUGAAAAGCUAAAUGAUGGUGUUCUUCCCAUUUUGGAGGUCUUCUAAGUGUUCUUGGGUGUUUUUUUCUAGAGAGAGAAAGUAUAGAGAGAGAAAUGAAGCAGCCAAAAGUGAAUGGAAGGGGGUCCUCCACUUUAUAUAAGGUUGAGUGUGAGGCUGGUGGGGUUUGCUGCUGGGUGUGCGGCUGGCUUGGCCGCACACACUAGUGUGCGGCCGCACACACCUCUCUUGGUGUGUUUGGCUGGAUUUUAUGAUGCAACACCCUUCCUAACCCUUCCUAAGGUUCAUAUCUAUGAUAUAUUAGGCCUAAAGCAGUCGUGCGGACUUAACAUUCUGACAAAGGAUACUAAAUUCAGGUGAAUUAUAGACACAUCAAUCGAUUGCAAAGUGCAAAAGUGUCGGGUUGUGUCACACCCCGCUAAAGCGGAAACGCAAGGUAUGACAGCGAUAACGGUUUCAAUGCAAAAGAUAAAGAUACAUCACCAUAGCAAUAUUUAAAAGUUACAACCCAUAGCUUCAAGCGAAACAGAAUACAAGUUUUUCAAAAUAACAUUGUUCAAAAUAUAACUUCAUAAUAGCUUCAACACGAUGCAGCAUGCUCUAUGAUGAUGAAUCUUUACAUCCACUUACUAAUUAUUUCCUGAAAAAGCAUGUAAAACGAGCGUCAACUAUGAAAAUAGUUGGUGAGUAUCACAAGUUUAUAAAUCGAGGGUACAAUAAUGCUUUUCGUAAGUACAAGUACAUUGCUUUAAUGAUAAAACAAAGUUGAUUGCUAUUAAGGAAUACAAGUUUAUUGCUAUAACGAGAAACGCGUUUGUAUGUGUAUGAGCAAACAAUGAGUCUCAACCAAACCUAUGACUGAAGCCCUAUCGAGAUCUAUGCUUAUCGUUCCAUAGAUGAAUAUGGUAUCAUGCACUCCAGCGAUUCGGGCGAGUGAGGAGUUGUCAAUUCCUAAUAGCGCUAUCCAUAAUGACCAUUGGCUCAAAGAGUUAAUGGUUAGAGAUAAGGGAAGGGCCUUAGUACGAUAAGUUCUCAUGUUCCGUGUUGCAUAGACAUACAUAAAGAAACAUAGCAAUACAAUAGCAAUCAUGUUUGAUACAAAUCAAUUUAAAUACAACAUGCAAAUAAUAGUUUUUCUGGACAUGCUUUUCCACCCCAAAACAUAAAACUGAAAAUAGGGGAGUGCGUGAAUACUCACGAUGUUUUGUGUAGACACAAGCGGUACUUCGGGAUGCACCAACGUCUUACUACCGGGAUCCUACGACAUCAAACACACGCACUAGUGAGUUUCCAUGUCGAUAUCUAAUGCUAAUAUACUAAAUUCUACAUAUAGGGAAAUGCCAAUUUAUGUUUUAGUAUUGGAUUUUAUAUCAAUUAGUUACACUUUUUCUGAAGUAAUGAAAUUCUAUAUAUCGGGCGAUUAAUUACAACCUUGGAAUAUAAACUUUCCAAAUUUUUAAGUCCUUAUUACAACAUAAAUUCACGAAAAUAGCAUUCGAGGGAUAAAAAUUCUCAAACUUUUUAUUUAACUGUUAUUACACAAUACUAAGCUGGGAAAAUUAUAAAAAUGGAUUUCCAAGCUGUUUAAUUAUAUUUUAUGAUUUUUGAGCAUUUAUUUCAAUAAAAAUUGAAAUAAAUAGAAAACGGUUUCCAAAAUUACCCAAACUUUUUAAUUAACUGUUAUUGUGCAUAACUAGGCUGGGAAAAAUAUAAAAGAUAUUUUUCAGUGGUUAUUUGUAUUUUUCCUUGUUUUAUUCCUUUAAAUAGUCAUUAAUUAAAGAAAUAAUAUUAAACAGUUAAAAUAAAUCACCAUAAAUUUUUGUAACAUCAUUUACAGUAUAAAUAUCCUGGGAAAAAUAUCAAAAGUGGUUUUCAUAAUGUAUAAACUGGUUUUGGGUAUUUAUGUAUAUUUAAGUGUAUUUUAGUGCAAUUAACUUUAGAAAAUAAGAGAAAAAUAGUUUACAGUAGAGAAAAAUAUUCAAAAUUUUUAUGUAACCUCCUACNCAUUUUUAUGUAACCUCCUACUGUAAAAUAUUAUACCCUGGUAAAUUUUCAUGAAUUUUGGAUAAUCAGAACUAUUUUUCCCAUUUUUAGACCAUUAUAAUUACCAAGAAUUGGUAAAAAUAGUAAGACAUGAUGAAAAAUCUUGAAAUUAUUUUCUGAUGUCACCCAUAACAGUUAAGGUGUACGAAAAUUGUUAGAUACAAUUUUCAUAUCCUCUAAGGUGGUUUUGUAAUUUAUCAUGUCCUAAAUAAAAGAAAAUUAGAAAUCGUAUUAAACAGUAACAAAAAUUUCUGAAAUUUGGUGAGGGGUCAUUAUUUCCUAUAGGUAUCAUCCAUGAAUUUAUUUAGGAUUUAUUGAUCUCUGGAAGUAUUUUAUAUGAUUUAUUCCCUUGGUUUUAGCAAUAACUCUAAUAAAUCAAAGAAAUAACAAAAGCUCUUGAAAUUUUCCAGAUUAUCUCAUGCAUGCAAGGACUUUCAAAAGGAAAAAUGUUAAGAAUGUAUUCUGAAGAUAAAUGAGGGUAAUGAUUCCAAACAAUUUAAGAAAAGUUGCAUGCAAUAAUGCAUGAAGUGUAGAUGUGGCUGAAGUUCAUGAAUUUAUGUAGCACAUUCAGUGAGGUUUUAAGCCACGAAAUUUCAACCAUCAUUCACUAGAUAUGUUAAGUUUCUAAGGUAUUUUUCCUCAGAUUUAUGGUUGGGUUUAAGGCCAUUGUUUAAGCAAGAUAAAAAUAGUGAUCACAGAAAAAGAGCUGUAUGCGCAACCUUUUUGUAAAAUCUGCCAAAAAUCGGAUAUUUAAUAUUUUACAGUAAGACCAGUUGGGUUUGAAAGUUAAUUCGUGGAACUAACCAAUACAAAAAGAAUAUCAUGAUUUGGUUAAGAAAUGACUGAGUUAUGACUGUUCAAAGUCGAACAAAGUAAUCUGGCAGAUUGCAUGUUUGCUUGUGUGCAUUAUUAGGGUAUUUCAACAAGAACAUCAUGCAUGUCUUUGGUAAGGCCCGAUUUCUAACACAUGCAUGGAAUGAAUGAGCAUCCAAGAUGUACUAGAAAUGGUUUAAAUGCUUUUGUUCAUGCAUGAACACAAAAGAAAUGGAGAAGAACAUGAAAUAUUAGGUUUUGAUGUCACAUGAUCAUAUGUGCAUCUUUUCCACUCCUUGCAUGGGUUUGAUCCCGGAUUUUCACCAUCUCUAACACAUGCAUUGUGUUAUGGUGAGAAUCUACAAACCACAAGGGGAGAAUAAAGAUUUCUAGCCAUGGAAAGGCAUAGAAUCCGAAAAGUAGAGAAGACUAAGAAGAAAAAGAGGUUUAACCAUGAAACUAUGGAAGAAGAUGUUGUUGUUUACCUUGGUUUUGACCUUGAGAGAAGUAAGAACACUUCAAGGGCUUCACAAUCUCGAAAUUUUGCAGAGAAAUGAGAGGAUUUUCGUGAGUUUAGAGAGAGGGAAGAAGAGAGUGAAGUGUGUGAAGAGAGUGAAGUGANGAGGUGGAGUGUAAGAGAGUGGAGAAAGAAGAGGUGGAGUGAGAGUUUUGACCUAAUGAUUGAAGUUUUUAGGAAGAGGGAGCAUGGGGAGGGGAGAAUGGCCAGAUUUUUGAGUGGAUUAGGGCCUUCUCUCUCCUCAAUUCAAAUUUUAUAAAAAUCCCUCCUUAAUUUUUAUAAAAAACUAAUUUUUAUAAAAGUGAUUAUUAAGCAAAUUUGGAUUUAUUAAAAAUCUUGUUUUCAACAAAUGAAUUAUGAUUAAUACUUGGUAAUUUAGUUUCUAUUUCAUUGACUAUAAUUCAUAAUUUGAUUAAUAAAAAUUUGAUAUUAGGAAGUUUAUAGCCAAAUUUUAUAAAGUUUUUAAGCUUUAUAAUUUAUAACUUUGGAUUUUUGGCUCUUUAGGGUUUUUGGAAUAUUGUUUGAUAUUCAACAACAUGUUGAAGUAUAAUUAGAAUGUUUUAAUUUAUUUUUAGAGUUUUAUACCCUAUUUCAAUUAUAACAAAGCUUGAAGCUUUAUUCUAAUUAUAGUAUUGGCAUUUCCUAUUGUAGCUAAGCAACUUACUAGAAUUGUAAGUAUCAAGUAUAUUAGUCCUAGACCUUAGUUGGAUCCUAGUUUAUGCAAGAUUUUUGACCUAAUCUAUACUACUAGGUCAUGGCAUGUUGUGCAUUAAUGGUUUUUAUAAAGAUGCAUGAGUCCGAGAAUGACCUGAAUUGGCAGUUGUCACAGGUUGUCACACAGUCAGUUCAAUACACUUGGGUAGCAAGGGUAUACGUCCAUGUUCAUACGUACCAGUUACAUUACUAGUAACCUACAAUAGGGGUAGUUCAGGAAGAUACUAGAACUAUUACUAGAACGCGAAAUCAUACCACGAGUCAGUUCAUUCAUGAGUCUAUACAUGCUAGAUAGAGAGAGAACACACGUUACAGCUAGUACACACAGAACAUUACAGUACAUUUACAUGAGUACAUUUACAUGAUUAUAUUUGCAUGAGUACAUUUGCAUGAGUAUAUUUACAUGAGUACAUUUACGUGAGUACAUUUACAUCAGCACGUUUACAUGAGUACAUUUACAUGAGUGCAUUAAUAUAGAUACGUUUACAUAGAGACCCUGUUAUAAGCAUGCGUAUAUAUGUAUAGUUAUAUAAGUAAUGUUUAAAGGACUUAGGAAGGCUAACCCGCUCUAUUUGUUUUCCCUGUUGUGAUGUGGUCUGGUGGGUGUCGGGUAUCCGUCCGAAGGUCGUUUAGAUACUUAGUUAUAUAUCAUGUGUACAUAUAUGGACAUAAUAGUUCCUUUCAGUCAGUUCAGUACCUUUGGGUAGCAAAGGUGUACGUUCAUAUACUUUUACAUAGAUCAUAUACAUACAUCACUAGGUGCUAUAGCAUGGAAGAAGUUCAGGAUCUGACUAUACCAAUGAAUCACAACGCAUUGUGAUAGUUAUACUGGGUAUACAUGAUCAUAGUAAUGUGGAUGUUCACGGGUUGCAAACAUGCAGGGGUCGUGCAUGGGUCCCAAAAUCUCUUUGACAGGGGAGCGUUUAGCCUGGGAUCUAGCCAUCACAUUAUGCCUUAUCCCUCAAAUAAGGAAAAAUUAGUACAGAAGUAGUCACUUAUUACAUAUACUACAGUACUUACUAGAUUCAAUAGAUUUAAGGUAGUUAGUUCGGUUGUAGUUUUGAUACUACACCGUAGUACUAUUUCCUUUUCCUAUUACAUUCACUCCGUGAACAUUCACACGAUGCACGAUAAUGUAGAAGCUAUAUUUUGGAUAAUGAUAGUCGGAUUUGGGAAAAUACACACUCUUACAAGAGACACACACAGAUACUAGAUGCCUUGGUAGAAGGAUACUUUUAGUAGGAAACAUACGGUUUUCUAGGAUGUUCAAAACAUUUUUAUACUUAAUGUUCAUAUACAUACAAAUACUUACAUACAAAUUAAGACACUAAAAUACUUAUGAUCUCACCAGCUUUAAAGCUGAUACUCUCUUUCAAAAUAACUUGUAUCCUCAGGUCAACAGUAGACUGGUACCGAUGCAAGGUUUAGAGAAGAUGGUGCUCGUUCAAGACUCAUCUUUCAUUUUGAUUUAUACUUUAGUGUUUAUCAUAAUUUGACAGAACACAGUUGUAUUAACAUUAUAUUAUUAAUGCAAUGGAUGAUGUUGUUGCUUGUUUACUACUUUUCAUUGUUGUGAUACUGUACAUGACGUCCUCUGCCCCAGAACGUAUCCGCCGUUCAUGGUUUUGGGGUGUGACAACUUUUAUAUUGUCAAAUGCAUGCCUAUAUAUGUAUAGUUAUAUAAGAAAUGUUUAAAGCACUUAGGAUUGCUAGCUCGCUUUAAUUCCUUUUCCUUGUUUGGAUGUGGCCUUAGGGUAUUAGUUAUUUGUUCGAAUGUCGUCUAAAUAUUAGUUAUAUAUUAUGUAUACAUAUAAAGACAUAAAAGUUCUACCAGCGAAUUUAGUACCUUUGAGUAGCAAAGGCAUACCUUUAGUUGUAUACCUACAUUACUAGUAACUAUAAUAAGUAUAGUUAGGAUAUACUAUUUACUUUUCAUAGUACAAGAAAUCACACAAGAGUCAGUUCAUUCAUGAGUCAAUACAAAUAUAUUACAUGCUAUAUGAAGAGAUAGUACUACAUACUAUAUGAAUAAAUACUAUUACAUACUAUAUGAAUAGAUACUAAUACAUACUAUAUGAAGAGAUACUAUUACAUACUAUAUGAAGAGAUACUAUUAUGUACUAUAUGAAUAGAUACUAAUACAUACUAUACGGGACUGACCAUUCUACACCCGGUUGUUAGCUACAAUGGGAAACUACACAUCAACGGAUGUCCUCAGUUGUACUGUUCGGCGAUUUACCACGCCGUGUUUAUCCUAAGACAAAAGGAUACGAUUUCAAUGAUUAUAUAAUUUUCCUAUUACUUUUUUCUUGUGAUACAUUCACAUAAACGAUGAGGUAGACUAUAUUUUAAUAAUAAUAGUUGUACAUUUGAGAAACCUUCAUUCAUACAGAGAAGCAAACCUUCAAAACAGUCGGGUCUUGGUAGAAGACUACAUUUUAUACUAGUAGGAAAUAUAGAAUUUUCUAGGGUUUUCAUACUUAUACAAAAUUGUUCAUCAACCAUUUACAAGUCUUUUAUUUACAGUUUUACAAAUCAAUGAAACUAAAAUGCUUAUGAAUUCACCAGCUGAAAUGCUGAUCUACACUUUUAAAAUAACUUGUAUUCUUAGGUCACAAGUAGACAGGUACGAUGACCAAGUUUUAAGAAGACGGAGCAGUCAAGACUCGUCUUUUAUUUUGAUUACUUAUUUUCAUGUAUUAUUUUAUGAAAGAAUACACAUGUAUUAAAAUGUUACUAUUAAUGCAAUGGAUGAUGUUGUUGCUAGUUUACUACUUUACACUGUUGUGAUACUUUAUAUGACGCCCUCCGCCCCAUAACGUUUUCGCCAUUCUAGGUUUUGGUUUGGUGUGACACACAAUAAUUAUGUUAUGCUAUAUAUCAUAUUAUUAAAACUCUCCACAGUCAGCCAUAUGUCGGAAGUAGAUAUGAAUCAAGACUAUCAUGGGUUGGCUUGUAUAGGUCUAAGAUGUUAGACAAAGCAGGGCUACAACACUCAUGAGUUGUCAUAAGUGAUAAGUAUUGGAUUGAACCAACGCUCACUGGUAUCACUUCAUGGAAUUUAUCUUGAGUGAUCGUGAGAUGGUAAUAUCAUAUAAGUCUUCAAACCUAGAGAUAUGAUUUGUUGCCUAUGGGUUGGUUAUGCAUUGAUUGCACGAAAACACAUUGGUAACUCGAUGUUAUAAACCAUGCGUUUGUGUGUAAUUCAACAAGUAAUAGCGCAAGCAUAUGAGUCAAACUUUAUAUAUUCCUUCUAAGAUUAGAAGCGAUAUCUGGGCCCCUCGAUGAUUUUGUUUUGACCUAUGUACCGGGCCCGGUCAGAACUAAAUUGAUGUGUUUAGUUAAGUUCUAUGUCAAACAAAUAGGAAAUCGGGAAAAAAAUGCUGGACAAUAAGAAAGACCAUGUUCCAUGUAUUUGUCUGACUGAUAUCUAGAACAGAGGAUUAUAGGAUCACUUAUCUAAAACAACGCUUCAUAGUUCAACAUAGUUUUAAGAGCUAUGAUUACUGAUCAAUUCCUGAAUUUAUACUUGAAACUAUAUUUAUUAGACUUAUCCAAGUGGGAGACUGUUGGAUAUAGUGUCUAAGUCCAUAACUAUAUUUGUUAUGUACUUGACCCGACCCGGCAUGGUCCAUUUGGGUUGCACUUCGCCCGAACAAUUUAUGGAUAAUCUUUUGAGAAUAGUAUAACUUAUGAUUUAUUAAUAUACUGUAAGUUCUAAUAUAUUAUACAAAAUCAUAUUAUUUAGUUAGUGUUGAUCUAUAAUUAAUAUAGAAAUAAUUUAGAGAUCAAAAGUAUGACUUAUUAAAUAUGGGCUCUUGAAUUUAUAUAGUGUGGGCUAAUGCUUAUUCGGAAUGGGCUAAGCUUUCAUGGAAAGUCCAUGGAUACUCCAUGGAUGUAACAGCCUAGAACCCCAGGUGUUAUUUAUUCAUAUAUUUUUGGUGUUUUGUGAGGGGACUCAGCGAGUUGGAGCUCAAACUCGCUGAGUAGGAUCGCGGUUUUGGACGCGGGUUCGCGCCGGGACUCGGCGAGUCCACGAUGUUUAAUGAAACCCUAAUUUACCGGUCCUGAGCCCUAUUUAUGGGACCUUAUGGCCUUCAUUGCGGCUACCUUCGACCUUGGGAGCACCAGAGCAGCUGAGAGUUCUUGUGAGUGAGAUAAGAGGCCAUUAUUCACCAUUUUAGUGUGUAUUUGCAAGAAAGGAAGAAGAAAGCCAAGCUAAGGGAGUUGGGGAGCUUAGAUCUACUCCCAUUUCGACAAAGGAAGCUAAUUGAGGUAACAUUCAGAGCUUAUUCUCGUGUUUUUCUUGAUAUGGCCAAAUCUAGGGUUUCUUCAUGCCUUGUUUGCCUUGUAUUUGGAGUAUGAGAGGUCCCAUGGGGAAAUGGUACCUAGAUCUGGACCUUAGUAGGUCCAGAGAGUCCCAAAUGCCAUGUUUUAUGCCUUUCCUUUUGAGUUGGAGACUUAGGUUUCAAUUUUAGAUGUCAUUUCAUCAAAAGAAGCCUUUUAGGCGUUGCUUGGUAGCCAAUAUUGAUACUUUAUGUGAUGAAUGUGCUUGGGAGGGCUAGAUCUAUGAGUUGUUGGAGCAUAUCUGACCUUAGAAGCGAGAUUGAGUCAAUGCAUGGCACGGACUCGCCGAGUCUGAAGAACAGACUCGGCGAGUAGCAUGAAGAUUGUCCUAACCACUCAACGAGUGGUCUUGCCGAGUUAAGGGAUGACUCAGUGAGUCAGGGAGAAUUAGAGAGGGUUGACAGGUGGACUGAGUCAAGAUGGAACUUGCCGAGUUGUUCUUGAGACUCGGCGAGUUGAGUCGUGGUGGCCCCGCGAUUAUUCCCGGUGAAACUCGUCAAGUCAUAGAAAUACUCGACGUGUCAAAAGAGGACAAAUGAGUCAGUGGGCACGUGUAGACUCGCCGAGUCGCCCUAGUGCACUCACCGAGUCCGGUCAAAGUUGACCGUUGACUUUUGUUGACUUUUAGGGUUUGGUCAGCGAUGUGGCCUUUGGGCCAAGAGAGGGGUAAAAUGGUCUUUUACCCUUAAGAGGGUGUCAAGAGAGGGUUGAUCCUAGACUCGAGAGUUAUAUUCACGAGAGUAUUUGCCUUAUGUGUUAGGCGGUGGCAAGUUCGAGAUUCAAGUGUGGGGAUAUCUGCUUUCUGCUUGCCAGGUGAGUCUUCUCACUAUACUUUACCUUGAGUAGGUAAUCAGAGUUAUGUGAUAGAGUAUUUGUAUGCUAUAUGCCUGUUAUGUGUUGUACUGCAUUAUUUCUAUGUGAUUUAUGAUGUGCAUGUUUACAGAGUUGGAACCGGAAGGUUCCCAGAGUUAGAACCGGAGGGUUCACAGAGUUAGAACCAGAGGGUUCGUAGAGUAGGGUCCACGGACCCAUAGAGUUAUAGCCAUGAGUGGCUAAUAUAUGUAUGUGUGGUAUUUUGGGGAACUCACUAAGCUUCGUGCUUACAGUGUUUUGUGUUAUGUGUUUCAAGUUUCUCUCAGGAUCACGGGACGGCACCGGCUCGAUUGUACACACCAGAGAAAGAGUCAUGUUUUGAGGAUCCUGGUUUAUUAUGCAAGUGAAAAUGGAGUUAUGUUUUGUAAUUCGAUUAUGUAUGAGAUUUUCAGCAAAGUGUUUGUUUUUAAUUAAACGAUUAUUUUAAAAUGAAAAAUUGUUUUGAAAUUUUUGGUGUUACAAGUUGGUAUCUGAGACUUGGUUUGAGGGAAUCGGAUGCGCCUCCGGGUAAAUCUGGACUCAAACUGAGGCAGUAAGAAAGGUUUUCAAAGAAAUAAUUUUCUAAAGCGAAUAAGAGUCCAAAGAGAAAGCGAGAAAGAGCACUGUGUACAAUUAGCCAGAGCCCGAACGGUGAUUUCCCAAAAUACCCUUACUUUUGUGUUAUGAGAUAUUUAUGAUGCACUUUAUGAGAUAUUAUUGCAUGCUAGAGACAGGCUAGGUAUUCCAUAUCUUAGGACUAGAGUGGCCUGAUUUGUGAUGCCUUAGCCUAGGAAUUGCUGUUAUAUGCGAUGUGCUUUUGAGUAUGUGAUGAGUGAGAAUAUUUAGUUGGAAUCCUUUAGGGGAUUUGAGUAGAGGAGUAAUCUAGGGGAGAUACCUAGAUGAGUACUGUGGUACUUAGAGAAAGAAUAGUUAGAACCCGCGAGGGGAAGAGUUGCAGAGUUCGGUGGUACUUUCGAGGAUGAGCAGAGCAAGCGGAGUNCAGUGAGUUAUAUAUAUUCUUUGAUGCUCGAAUGAUGCUUGCUUCGUGCUUUGUGGAACUCUCGAUGAUGGGAGUCAGCUACCAAGUGAAUAUGACGAUAUUCAGGAGGUAGAUGGUUGGCAUCAUUAGGAGCUCUUUAGCAGCUGAUGGCAGAGAAGUAUGAGGGGCUAGGAAGAGCCUAGGGAGUAACCUUAGCCAGAUGAGUGCACUGGCAGAGUAGAGAAUUUUGCUGGGGAGCGAGCGCGUGACGGAAUUUGGUGAACGAUAAGGUAGAGCAGCUACUUAGGAGCUCCGGGAUAGUCUGUGUGGAAAGUAUGGGUAGAUGUGGCAGGUAGUAUGGGCCCGUACUACUGAAAUCAGAGGACCCAUACUUGAUACAGGGAGUAUUCUGAAGGUUCUAACGAGCAUAUUGAGGACUGAUGUCAUGGUUCGAGUACCAUGCAUCAGAGCAGAUUGAGGAGUGAUGUUAUGGUUCGAGUACCAUACAUCGGGGCAGAUUGAGGGGUGAUGUUAUGGUUCGAGUACCAUACAUCGGAGCAGAUUGAGGAAUGAUAUUAUGGUUUGAGUACCAUACAUCGGAGCAUAUUGAGAAGUGAUGUUAUGGUUCGAGUACCAUGCAUUGUAGCAGAUUGAGGGGAGAUGUCAUGGGCUGAGUACCAUGGUUCUUAGCAAAUGAUGCUUGCGAUUCUCUGGUUGUCGGGUCAGGAUUGACUGAUGGAGUUUGGGCGUGAUAGGGUUUUAGGCAUGAGGGCCAUGAUUGAGUCCGAAGAGGCAUCCUUGAGAGGAAGGUCAAGAGCCUUCAGAGUAUUUUGGUAAGAUGUCAAGUGUAGUCNCACCAUACAUCGGAGCAUAUUGAGGGGUGAUGUUAUGGUUCGAGUACCAUACAUCGGAGCGGAUUGAGGAAUGAUGUUAUGGUUCAAGUACCAUACACCGGAGCAUAUUGAGAAGAGAUGUCAUGGGAUGGGUACCAUGGUUCAUAGUGAAUGCAUCUUGUGAUUCUCCGGUUAUCCGGUCACGAUUGAUGAGGUAGAGAUUGGAUGCUAUGGGUUUUAGGCUUGUAGGCCAUGAUUAAGUUUGAAGAGGCGUCCCUCGAGAGGGAGGUUGAGAGCCUAUCAGAGUAUUUUGGUAAGGAGNGAAUUUUGGUCUGAGUUGAGCAAUCAGUCGAUAGAGGAGAUGUCACCUUCUAUGACCUGAGUGGUGCUAUUUAUGUUCGUGUGCGGAACAAGAGAGGCCUAAUGUUUAUGUUUCGGGUUUGGUGGUAAAACCCUGCAGGUUGUCAUUGAUAAUGAUUUUCCAUAAGAGUAUCAGGGAGCAUGUGUGCUGCGAGACAGUGAUUUACCAUGAGCAAAUAGUCAGUUGGGACUGAGAUAGUCAAGGACCACGUUACACCUAUUUGAGUAUAGUAGGGCGUAUUGUAGAGGUAUCAGUGGGGAGUCCAGUCGAGUUAAUCAGUGCAGUGGUUUUUCUAUCCAUGUUGGGUAUUGAAUAUGGGAGUAGGGUCCCUGUUCUUGGUAUGAUCCAUGUGUUGCAACGUUGGUUGAUGAGUCGAAGUUGGGAAUAUGAUGAUUUUGUGGUCCAGUCUAUGAGUCAGUGAUAUUAUUGGACAGUUGAGUUGUUGGUAUUGGAUUGGUGCGAGACUUGGCACGACUAGAGGCAGUCGUGACGAGAAGUUCUUGAGGAUUUCAUCUAAGGUUCAGAGUUAUGAGAUCGAUUGAUUUCCUUAAAGGGGAUUAUCGGGCGUUGCGUAGCACUUUCCAAGGGCAGGUGCGUUAUUGCUGGUGGAAAUAGUUCGUGAGGUUGUUGAUGUGUCAGAUAGUGAUGGUUCGAACCCUAAGUGGGGGAGAACCGGGUGGUUUAUUGAGAGAACCAGAGAUUUGUGCAAGAGCAGUUAGGGGUUGGAUGCAGAAACCUGCGGCUUGAAUUCAGGAGAUCAAGGUCAUUGGUGGUCAAGGUAAGGUGUACGGUGAGAUAAUGCAUGUGGUGUAUGCCUGAGAGAAGGAUGCGUGUCUCCACGGCGAGUGGUCAAUGGUCAGGAAUCUGGUGGUGGUCAGAGUCAAUUCAAGUGGAAGACUCGUAAUGAUGGUAUGGGCAGUUGAGAACUUCUGGGUUGAAAUAUGGGUAGAAGAUUAUCGAGUAGCCAACUCCCAGGCUGGGAUGUGUAUUCUUGCUUGAAUUUUGAGCAGUAGUGGAAAGGUUUUCGGAGGAUCAUCAGUGUGUUCUGAAGGGUUAGCGCCUUCCUUGUAUUCCAAUUGAGUGUUUGGAUGCACUGAAGUUGCGCAUCGAGUGAUAUAAGAAAUUAUUAUGGGAUUCAAAGGAAAUGUAUUGUUGUGUGUAUAUGGUGUUGGGAGUAAGGGAAUCAGUGGUAGAGGCAGGACAUUGUGAUGCUCUGUUAGGGUGUUCUGUGGUUUCCGCGUAUAGCGUCCCGAUUUCAGAGUUAUUUAGAGUCUUGGGUUAAGAUGACUGGGGAUGUAUCAUGUAUCCAUCGUUCCAGUGGGAGCCCUUCGUGUAUUGUCAUCAAGAGGGAUUAUUUAAGGAAGUGGAUCUCCGUAGAGGUAGGUUCUGUGUUAUGGCGGUUGCCGCCAGAGUCUGUAAUGCAUAUCGGGGCAAGUGUGUGUGUAACUAUCUAUGAUAGUCUUCGGUGCAUGAGUUANGGAUCAGCCUAACCUAAAUAUGCGACAGAGGAGGUGGUUGGACGUGGUCAAGCAUUAUGAUUAUGAGAUCCUGUACCACCUGGGCAAGGCUAGUGUUUUAGCCGAUGCACUGAGCCGCAGGGUGAAGAGCACCCCAUUGCGAGAUGUAUGUUUGAGAUUACCGUGAUAGCUCCGGUGUUCGACACCAUUCGUGGAGCACAGGCUGAGGCUGUGCGGCCUGAGAUACAGAAGAUAGAGCGAGUUGUCGAGUUGGUAUCGGAGUUCGUUACCGAUAGCCGGGGGCUUAUGACAUUUCAGGGGCGUAUCUGGGUACCGUUUGUGGGAGGAACGCGUACCAUUUUGAUGGAAGAGGCUCACCGGUCGAAGAUCUCGAUGCAUCCUGGGGCCACUAAGAUGUAUUUAGAUCUGAAGGAGUAUUGGUGGCCCUGUAUGAAGAGGGAUGUCGCGUGGUUUGUUGAGGGUUGCUUAACCUGUUGUAGGGUUAAGGCCGAGCACCGGAGACCGCAUGGUAAGUUGCAGCCUUUAAAGGUUCCUGAAUGGAAGUGGGAACAGAUUGCCAUGGAUUUUAUCACCAAAUUGCCAAGGACUUCUAGGGGAGUCGAUGCAAUUUGGGUGAUUGUGGACAGGUUGACAAAGAGCGCCCACUUCCUUGCUAUCAGUGAGAACUCUUCCACAGAGAAGUUGGCAGAGGUGUAUGUGAGAGAAGUGGUAUCGCGGCAUGGAGUGCCGAUCUCGAUUGUCUCAGACCGAGAUGUGUGUUUCACUUCCAGACUCUGGAAGAAAUUUCAUGAGGAGUUGGGUAUUAGGUUGCAUUUUAGUACCGCAUAUCACCCCGAGACUGACGGACAGAUGAGCGGACGAUUCAGACGCUCGAGGAUAUGCUCUGGGCAUGUGUGUUGGAUUUAGGGGGGAGUUGGGACACGUAUUUGCCCAUGGCAGAGUUUUCUUACAACGACAGCCAUCAUUAGUGCAUCAGUAUGCCGCCCUUUGAGCUGCUGUAGGGAAGGGAGUAUCGGACCCCAUUUGCGGGGAAGAGGUAGAGCAACAUGUGAUGGGAAGUACAGAGAUCUUGCUUCAGACGUCAGAGCAGAUACAUCAUGUCAGGCAGAGGUUGUUGACCGCUCAGAGUCGCUAGAAGAGUUCUGCGGACAGGUGCCGGUCCGAGCUCGAAUUGUUGGUCGGUGACUUUGUACUCCAGAAGGUCUCUCCUUGGAAAGGAGUGAUUCAAUUCAGGAAGAGGGGCAAGUUGGGGGCCCCGAUAUAUUGGUCCUUUCUGAGUGAUCGCGAGGGUAGGCUGGAUAGCCUAUCGUUUGGAUUUGCCAGCAGAGUUGGGGCAGUUUCACGACACUUUUCAUGUGUCGCAACUGAGGAAAUGUUUAGUCGAUGAGUCGGCAGUGGUUCCAAUAGAGAAUAUUCAGGUGGAUGCGAGCCUGAAUUAUGCUAAGAGACUAGUGGAGAUCGGAGACCAGAAGACCAAGGUUCUGAGGAACAAGGAGAUAUGCUUGGUUUUGGUUCAGUGGCAGCAUUGUAAGGGAUCCGAGAUGACCUGGGAGCCGGAGUGUGAGAUGCAGGAGCAACAUCUAAAGUUGUUUGCAGAGUGAGACUUCGAGGGCGAAGUCUAAUUCUNCUAGUGGGGGAGAAUUGUAACAGCCCGGAACCCCAAGUGUUAUUUAUUCAAAUAUUUUUGGUGUUUUGUGAGGGAACUCGGCAAGUUGGAGCUCAAACUCGCCGAGUAGGAUCGCGGUUUUAGAUGCAGGUUCGCGCCGGGACUCGACGAGUCCACGCUGUUUAAUGAAACCCUAAUUUUCCGGUCCUGAGCCCUAUUUAAGGGACCUUAUGGCCUUCAUUGCGGCUACCUUCGACCUUGGGAGCACCAGAGCAGCUGAGAGUUCUUGUGUGUGAGAUAAGAGGCCAUUAUUCACCAUUUUUGUGAGUUGGGGAGCUUAGAUCUACUCCCAUUUCGACAGAGGAAGCUAAUUGAGGUAACAUUCAAAGCUUAUUCUCGUGUUUUUCCUGAUAUGGCCAAAUCUAGGGUUUCUUCAUGCCUUGUUUUCCUUGUAUUUGCAGUAUGAGAGGUCCCAUGGGGAAAUGGUACCUAGAUCUGGACCUUAGUAGGUCCAAAGAGUCCUAAAUGCCAUGCUUUAUGCCUUUCCUUUUGAGUUGGAGACUUAGGUUUCCAUUUUAGAUGUCAUUUCAUCAAAAGAAGCCUUGUAGGUGUUGCUUGGUAGCCAAGAUUGAGACUUUACGUGAUGAAUGUGCUUGGGAGGGCUAGAUCUAUGAGUUGUUGGAGCGGAUCUGACCUCAGAAGCGAGAUUGAGUCGAUGCAUGGCACGGACUCGCCGAGUCUGAAGAACAGACUCGGCGAGUAGCAUGAAGAUUGUCCUAACCACUCAACGAGUGGCCUUGCCGAGUUAAGGGAUGACUCAGUGAGUCAGGGAGAAUUAGAGAGGGUUGACAGGUGGACUCAGUGAAGCUGGAACUCGCCGAGUUGUUCUUGAGACUCGGCGAGUUGAGUCGUGGUGGCCUCGCGAUUAUUCCAGGUGAAACUCGUCGAGUCCUAGAAACACUCGAUGUGUCAAGAGAGGACAAAGGAGUCAGUGGGCACGUGUAGACUCGCCGAGUCGCCCUAGUGCAUUCGCCGAGUCCGGUCAAAGUUGACCGUUGACUUUUGUUGACUUUUAGGGUUUGGUCAGCGAUGUGGCCUUUGGGCCAAGAGAGGGGUAAAAUGGUCUUUUACCCUUAAGAGGGUGUCAAGAGAGGGUUGAUCCUAGACUCGAGAGUUAUAUUCAUGAGAGUAUUUGCCUUAUGUGUUAGGCGGUGGCAAGUUCGAGAUUCAAGUGUGGGGAUAUCUGCUUUCUGCUUGCCAGGUGAGUCUUCUCACUAUACUUUACCUUGAGUAGGUAAUCAGNAGAGUAUUUUUAUGCUAUAUGCAUGUUAUGUGUUGUACUGCAUUAUUUCUAUGUGAUUUAUGCUGUGCAUGUUUAUAGAGUUGGAACCGGAAGGUUCCCAGAGUUAGAAUCGGAGGGUUCACAGAGUUAGAAUCAGAGGGUUCAUAGAGUAGGGUCCACGGAUCCAUAGAGUUAUAGCCACGAGUGGCUAAUAUAUGUAUGUUUGGUAUUUUGGGGAGCUAACUAAGCUUCGUGCUUACAGUGUUUUGUGUUAUGUGUUUCAUGUUUCUCUCAGGAUCACGGGACGGCACCGGCUCGAUUGUACACACCAGAGAAAGAGUCAUGUUUUGAGGAUCCUGGUUUAUUAUGCAAGUGAAAAUGGAGUUAUGUUUUGUAAUUCGAUUAUGUAUGAGAUUUUCAGCAAAGUGUUUUUUUUUGAAUUAAACGAUUAUUUUAAAAUGAAAAAUUGUUUUGAAAUUUUCGGUGUUACAGUGGAGCUCUAACCCAUGAAUCUCAUGGAAAUGAAAAACAUGAGUAUUAGGGUUUACAUGGAUGUAACCCUAAUCCACCACACUAUAUCAAGGAGGCUUUGGUUCUUGAAAUCACAUUAGUUGAUGUGUGUAAAGUAAGAGGGACGAUUUCAAGAAGGGUGUAGCUAUUCUCUCAAGUUUUCCAAGCUUGUGGUGAUUUGUGACUUCCAUUUGAGACAUCCACAUUAUUGGUGCUAGGAUCUCAAACUCCAAGCAAUCAACUACAACUACAAGAUAAUCAAUUAUAGUAGCUUUAUUUGAUUCAAGUAACCCAUGCCAUGCUAGUUAGGAUAAGUACAUUGGAAAAAUAAUUAUUUGCAUGUAUCUUAGUCAAACAUAGAACCAAGAUUUCUAGGGUUGCAUGUACACCAUAGGAGUGUUAGAAUGCUCAAAACCCAUCAUCUAUAACACAAAAUAAGCCAACAUGGGACAGAUCUCAGGUUCUAGGGCCUUGUCAACUCGUAAAGCCAUCAACUUUGGGGACAAAAACCCUAAAACACCCCACACAUGAACACAAACAAAAGAGUAGGAAUGCUUGAAGCUUUUUACCUCCAAAUGAAUCCUUUCUCACUGCUAAGCUCAGAUCCAAGGGCUUGGGCUCUAACUCCUUCUUCUCCAAAGCUUCCUUUCCACUUCUAAUGCACAAGAACACACCCACAAGUUCUCAAAGGCAGUCUCUUGCUACAAGAAUGAGAUUUAGGGUUUUGGGGAGGUUAUGUAUCUGGAAAUGGUGGCCAUAGGGAGGCCAGGACACUCUUUAAAUAGGGAACUCACUCAAUAUUUGGGUUACAAUCUGGGCCUGGUAUGCCCCACGUACGCCUUGGUACGCCCGAUAUACUAGGUUGCCCUCCGCGAUCAAACACGCGCACGAGUACGCUGAGCGUACACUCUAGUAUGCUCCGCGUACCCGUCUACCACCCUUUUCUUAUCAAGGACCAAUAUGGAAAAUUACUCAAAGAUUAGGGUUCACAAGGUAUACCUGGGUUUUUGGAUGUUACAAUUCUCCCCCCACUAGAAUUAGACGUCGCCCCCUGAAUUCAUGCUCCACAAACAACUCUGGAUGCUGCUCCCGCAUCUCAGACUCCAAUUCCCAAGUCGUCUCGGACCCUCUCCGAUGCUACCACUAAACUUCGACCAAAGACACCUCCUUAGUCCUUAGAACCUUCACCUUUCAAUCCAGAAUCGCGAUCGGUCUUUCGAUGUAACUCAUGCCCGCAUCCACAUGAAUAUCCUCUAGUGGUACAACUGUCGUCUUAUCGGCCACACACUUCCUCAACUGGGAUAUGUGGAAGGUGUUAUGGAUCUGACUCAACUCCUCAGGUAGAUCCAAACAGUUUGCUACCUUGCCUACACUCGCGGUCACCAUGAAAGGACCAAUGUAUUCUGGCCCCAACUUGCCCUUCUUCCUGAAUCGGAUCACUCUUUUCCAAGGAGAUACCUUCAGGCGUACUAUGUCUCCGACCUGGAAAUCGAGCUCGAAUCGCCGCCUAUCCGCGUAACUCUUCUAGCGGCUCUGGGCUGUCAGUAACCUUUGUCUGACCUGCUAUAUCUGCUCAGUCAUCUUUAGCAUUAUCUCGGUGCUACCCAUCGCUCGCUGCCCCGCCUCUCCUUAACAGAUGGAGGUCCGAUACCUCCCCCCAUAUUAAAUCUCAAACGGAGGCAUAUAAUACUCGAAUAGUGGCUGUUGUUGUACGAAAACUCGGCCAAAGGUAGGUAUGUUUCCCAACUUCUGCCGAAGUCCAUAAAACAUGCUUGAAGCAAGUCCAAAGGUGGCAAUCUCGAACCCAAAUCCUCAUGAAACUUCUUCUAGAACCUGGAAGUGAAACACACAUCUCUGUCUUACACAAUUGAGAUCGGCACUCCAUGCCGAGACACCACCUCUCUCACGUAUAUCUCUGCCAGCCUCUCUGUAGAAGAGCUCUCACUGGUAGCAAGCAAAAUGAGCGCGCUUCUUCAGCCGGUCAACAAUCACCCAAAUUGCAUCAACACGCUUGCGGUCCUCGAAAAUUUGGUAAUGAAAUCCAUAGAAAUAUGUUCCCACUUCCACUGGGGAACCUCCAGCGGCUGCAACUUGCCGUGCGGACGCUGAUGCUUCGCCUUGACUCGACGACAUGUCAAUCACCUUUCUACGAGCCACGCAAGAUCCCUCUUCUUACAGGGCCACAGGUAAUCUCUCUUCAGAUCCAAAUACAUGUUAGUGGCCCCGGGAUGGAUCGAGAAUCUCGAUCUGUGCGCCUCCUCAAUCAAUAUGCUACGUGCUCCGCCCAUAAACGACACCGAUACCAGACCGUGAAAGGUUAUAAGUCGUCGGCAACCAGUAACAAACUCGGACCCCUGCCCAAUCACCCGCUCUCUCGUGUGGUUCUCCAGUCUCACAGCCUCUACCUGGGCCUCUCGGAUGGUAUCCAAUACCAGAGUCAUCACCGUCAUCCUCAUACAUGUAUCUCGAAUCUGGGCACUCACCGCCCUGUGGCUCAGAGCAUCGACUACCAUCUUAUCCUUGCCCGGGUGAUACGUUAUCUCACAGUCAUAAUCCUUUACAACCUCCAACCAUCUCCUUUUACGCAUGUUCAGGUUGGUCUGAUCCAUUAGAUACUUCAAACUCUUGCGGUCCGUGUAUAUGGUACACCGAACCCCUUACAAAUAAUGGCCCCAUAUCUUGAGGGAGAACACUAUUGCCCCCAACUCCAAAUCGUGGUUGGGAUACCUCGUCUCAUGAGGGUUCAGCUGCCUCGAUGCGUAUGCUAUCACGUGCCCUCUCUGGAUAAGCACCGUACCCAAUCCUUAUAUGGACGAGUCACAGUACACCACAAAAUCCUCCAUUCCCUCUUGAAGGGCUAAGACCGGGGCUUCGUAUAAUCUUUGGCGAAGAGUCUCAAACGAGGUCUGCUGCUCAGCACCCCAUGUAAAACUAGCGGCCUUCCGGGUCAAUCUGGUAAGGGAACGACAAUCUUGGAGAAAUCCCUGAUAAGUCUCCGAUAGUAGACGGCCAACCCUAGAAAGCUCUUGAUCUCGGUGGGGGAUAUCGGCACCUCCCAUCUCAUAACAGUCUAAAUCUUGGCCGAAUCGACCAAUAUCCAAUUCUGAUAAACGAGAUGUCCCAAAAAUUGGACCUCUCUUAACCAGAAAUCACACUUAGACAUAAAGCCUCUCCGAUCUCAAUACCGCAAGAAUCUCCCUUAGAUGCUCCUCGUGUUGCUCCCUAGAUCUCGAUUACACCAGAAUAUCGUCGAUGAACACAAUCACCGAUCGAUCCAAAAUCGACCUUCAUACUCGGUUGAUGAGAUCCAUGAACGCUGCUGGUGCAAUGGUGAACCCAAAAGGCAUCUCCAUGAACUCGUAAUGCCCAUAAGGAGUCCUAAACAACGUAUUUUGGAUAUCCUCAUCCCACACCCUCAUCUGGUGAUAUCCCGAUCUCAAGUCUAUCUUCGAGAACCAAGAAGCUCCCUGCAACUGAUUGAACAAAUCGUCGAUCCUCUGUAGUGGAUAACGUUUCUUGACCAUCAACUUGUUCAACUCCCGGUAAUCAUGCACAUCCGGUGUGAACCAUCAUUUUUCUUGACAAAAAGGAUCGGCGCUCCCCACGACGAGUUACUCGGUCGAAUGAAUCCCUUCCCCAACAGCUCCUGAGCCUGCGUAGACAACUCUUUCAUCUCUGGUGGUGUAAGGUGAUAAGGUACCUUAGCAAUAGGCGCCACACCCGGAACCAGAUCGAUGCGAAACUCCACCCGCCUAUCGGGAGGCACACCCGGUAACUCCUUGGGGAUAACAUGUGGAAACUCUCAUACUAUCCGAACCUCACUGACCGAUGUCGACCUCUAUGCGGCAACUCGUGUAUCAAUCACAUAGGCCACAAAUCCUCUGUAGCCCUUCUGUAGACUCUGCCUCACUCUGACAGCCGAGCAAAAUGCUGACCCAGAUCGGUUACCCUCGCGAUAUACCGUAAGUACUCCCCCACUAGGGUCUCGUAUGGUCACCAACUGACGCUCGCAGUCGAGAAUAUCUCCAAAUUGGCUCAACCAAUCCAUACCUACGAUGACAAAGACAUCCCCCAUCGUAAUAGGUACCAAAUCUAUCAGGAACUCAACACUAAAAAUCUCGAUUAUACAUCUUUGAAUCUCCUCAGUAGCAAAGACCACUCGCUCGACAGCUUUAGAAACUCAGAGAGGUCGACUCAACGCCUCUCGUCGGAUACCGAUGUGCUGACUAAAAGCUAAUUACACAAAAGAUCGACUCACACCUGAAUCAAAUAACACCAAAGAAGGUACAUAAUUCAAAAGGAAAGUACCUAAACAUAUCAAAAUAUAAGCAUAAUAUCUCAAAAUCAGCAUAAGUAAAUAGAAGAAUACAUACCAGCCACGACAUCGGGCGCUGCGCGGACCUCCUCCUCCGUCAACUAAAAGGCUCUCCCGCGAGCCCUCAGUGUCUCUGCCUUCACUGGCCGGCUCUCAGAAGCACGCACAGAAGUACGUGAAGAUCCCUGCACUAGCUCGGGGCACUCGGCCUUCCGGUGGUCGGUCUGGUUGCAAUGAAAGCAAAUCAAGAAUCCGUUGGGGAAAUCCUUCACCAUGUGUCCCUCCUUGCCGCAUUUGUAGCAGAUCCCUACUCGGAAAGAACCCUCGUGACUCUUGCCGCACUUGCCAUAAGUGCGGCCCUUCUGGCCUUCAACUCUGGAAUCAGCAGGCUUAGCCCGCUUUGUCAUCGGUUGCGACUAUACUUGCCUCCGGUCCCUCCCCGGGGACUCCUCCUCAUCCUCCCUGGUCUAAAGCGCAAGCUCAAUUUUCUCCUCCUGGCAUUCGCCUGGAGCUCGGCCAAUGUCCGGUAAGACGAGUUCUCCACAACUCUUGUAUGUCCCUCUUCAGUAUGCUCAGAUAUCGACUCACACGUUCCUGCUCAAUGGACACGUGUUCGAGGCAAAACAUCACCCUCUCAUGGAAUACCCUCAAGAUCUCAGUCAUUGACUCUAACUUCUUCCAGAGAGACAGAAACUCUUAUGUAACAUCCCGAAAUAUCAAGAGUAGAGUUGAAGGGCUAAAAGAGUAAGUUGUGAAAGAGUGACUCGGCGAGUCCAUGGAUGGACUCGGCGAGUAGAGUCGCGACUGGGUCGCGUGCUAAGUAGCCGACUCGGCGAGUCGGUGAGGAGGACUCGGCGAGUAGGCGCUGAUUGGAGAAAACCCUAAUUCUCGGGGUUGAGCCCUAUAUAAAGAACAUUAUGUUUUCCUCCCAGCCUCCUUAUCACCCCUUGAGCCCCAGAAAACCCUAAAUCGCGGAGAAGCACCAUUGUUGAGUGGAUUGGAGCUUGGAGAAGUAAUUGUUGAAGGAAUUUUGGGAGAUUGAAGGCUUGGAGCAAGGGGCUUUGCUUGGAUUCGAAUUACAUUGCAGUUGGGGCAUCUCUUGGAGGUAAUAUCUCGUUCUUGGGCUGUUAUUAUGUGUUUCUUCAUUUUGGGGUUUGUGGGAACUUGUCUAUGGAUGUAAUGGGAAGUCUAGAGGUUAGAUCUGAGGUUGCUACCUCAGAUCUGGAAGGGAGAAGAAUCAGAGAGCAUGAAAGUCCCUGUGUUGGAGUGUUUAGUGAAGCUUUCAUGUCCCAAACCCUAGCCCAAUGUGCAAAUGGCCUAGAUCUCUUUGGAUUCACGUAAAGUUUGCCACUUUACGUGAUGGAUGAGUGGUAGGAGGCUAGAUCUAUGUUUUGGAGCAAUUGCAUGGCCUGGAAUGCUUCUGAAUGGAUUCAGACCGGUGGUACUCGGCGAGUCACAUGGGUGUACUCGACGAGUUGGAUGAAGAUGGCCUGGAACUCGGCGAGUUGUAUGAACAACUCGACGAGUAGGUUGAUGAUAGUCUUGGACUCGGCGAGUCUGUUCUUGGACUCGGCGAGUCUUGUCGAAGAGUCCCGAUAUUCCCUGGUUGAGUCGAGAAUCGGUGAGUCAAGGGAUGACUCGGUGAGUUGUGUGCGAGUGGACUCAGAGUUGUUGGACUCGGCGAGUCUCGGAGUGACUCGGCGAGUUAGGUCGCGGAUUGAGUGAAGUUCUGAUUAUAGAAACUCGGCGAGUCAUAGAGUUGACUCGGCGAGUAGGGUCAGUCAGGGGUUGACUUUGACUGAGGACUUUGAUUUUGACCAAGGGUUGACCGUUGACUUUUAGGGUUUGGUCAGCGAUGUGGCCUUUGGGCCAAGAGAGGGGUAAAAUAGUCUUUUACCCUUAAGAGGGUGCAUUGAGAGGAUUGAUUCUAGUCUCGAGAGUUAUAGUCAUGAGAGUUUUGCCUUACGUGUUAGGCGGUGGCGAGUUCGAGAUCCGAGUAUGGAGAUAUCUGCUUUUUGCUUGCCAGGUGAGUCUUCUCACUAUACUUUACCUUGAGUAGGUAACCAGAGUUAUGUGACAGAGUAUUUGUAUGCUAUGUAUGUUAUGUGUUGUACUGCAUUAUUUCUAUGUGAUUUAUGCUGUGCAUGUUUGCAGAGUUGGAACCGAAGGGUUCCUAGAGUUAGAACCGGAAGGUUCACAGAGUUAGAACCUGAGGGUUCACAGAGUUUGGGUGCACGGACCCAUAGAGUUAUAGCCUCGAGUGGCUUAUAUGUGUUAUGUGUGUGGUAUUUUGGGGAACUCACUAAGCUUCGUGCUUACAGUGUUUUGUGUUAUGUUGUUUUCAGGUUUCUUUCAGUAUCACGGUACGGCACCGGCUUGAUUGUACACACCAGAGCAAGAGUCAUAUUUUGGAGGAUCCUGGUUUUCUAUGCAAGUGAAAAUGGAGCUAUGUUUUGUAAUUUGAUUAUGAAUGAGAUUUUUAACAAGUGUUCUAAGAAUAAAAUGAUUAUUUAAAAUGAAAAUUUUGUCUUGAAAUUUACGGUGUUACAAGUUGGUAUCAGAGCCUUGGUUUGAGGGAUUCGGAUGCGCCUUCGGGUAAUUCUGGACUCAAACUGAGGAAGUAAGAAAAGUUUUCAAAGAAAUAAUUUUCUAAAGCGAAUAAGAGUUCAAAGAGAAAACGAGAAAGAGCAGUGUGUACAAUCAGCCAGAGCCCGAACGGUGAUUUCCCAAAAUACCCUUACUUUUGUGUUAUGAGAUAUUUAUGAUGCACUUUAUGAGAUAUUAUUGCAUGCUAGAGACAGGCUAGGUAUUCCAUAUAUUAGGAGUAGAGUGGCCUGAUUUGUGAUGCCUUAGCCUAGGAAUUGCUGUGAUAUGCGUUGUGCUUUUGAGUAUGUGAUGAGUGAGAAUAUUUGAUUGGAAUCCUUUAGGGGAUUUGAGUAGUGGAGUAAUCUAGGGAAGAUACCUAGAUGAGUACUGUGGUACUUGGAGAAAGAAUAGUUAGAGCCCGCGAGGGGAAGAGUUGCAGAGUUCGGUGGUACUUCCGAGGAUGAGCAGAGCAAGCGGAGUUAUCACCCAGAGUGAGUCAUAUAUAUUCUUCGAUGCUCGAAUGCUGCUUGCUUCGUGCUUUGUGGAACUCUCGAUGAUGGGAGUCAGCUACCAAGCGAAUAUGACGAUAUUCAGGAGGUAGAUGGCUGGCAUCAUUAGGAGCUCUUCAGCAGCUGAUGGCAGAGAAGUGUGGGAAUCUGAGAAGAGCCUAGGGAGUAACCUUAGCCAGAUGAGUGCACUGGCAGGGUAGAGAAUUUCGCUGGGGAGCGAGCGCGCGAUGGAAUUGGUGAACGAGAAGGUCGAGCAGCUACUUAGGAGCUCCGGGAUAGUCCGUGUGGAAAGUAUGGGUAGAUGUGGCAGGUAGUAUGGGCCCGUACUACUGAAAGCAGAGGACCCAUACUUGAUACAGGGAGUAUUCUGAAGAUUCUAAUGAGCGUAUUAAGGAGUGAUGUAUGGUUCGAGUACCAUACAUCAGAGCAGAUUGAGGAGUGAUGUUAUGGUUCGAGUACCAUACAUCGGAGCAGAUUGAGGAGUGAUGUUAUGGUUGAGUACCAUACAUCGGAGCAGAUUGAGGAGUGAUGAUAUGGUUGAGUACCAUACAUCGGAGCAGAUUGAGGAGUGAUGUUAUGGUUCGAGUAUCAUACAUCGGAGCAGAUGGAGGAGUGAUGCUAUGGUUCGGGUACCAUACACCGGAGCAUAUUGAGAAGAGAUGUCAUGGGAUGAGUACCAUGGUUCGUAGUGAAUGAUGCUUGUGAUUCUCUGGUUAUCCGGUCACGAUUGAUGAGGUAGAGAUUGGACGCUAUGGGUUUUAGGCCUGUAGGCCAUGAUUGAGUUUGGAGAGGCGUCCCUCGAGAGGGAAGUCGAGAGCCUAUCAGAGUAUUUUGGUAAGGAGUUAGAGGGAGAGGAGAAUUUCGGUCUAAGUUGAGCAAUCAGUCGAUAGAGGAGAGGUCACCUUCUAUGUGAGUGGUGCUAUUUAUGUUCGUGUGCGGAACAUGAAAGGCCUGAUGUUUUAGUUUUGGGUUUGUGGGUAAACCCUGCAGGUCGUUAUUGAUGAUGAUUUCUUCCAGAGUAUCAGGUAGCAUGUGUGCCGUGAGGCAGUGAUUUGUCAGGAGCAGAUAGUCAGUUGGGACUGAGAUUGUCGAGGACCACACUACACCUAUUUAAGUAUAGUAGGAUGUAUUAUAGUGGUAUCAGUGGGGAGUUCAGUCGAGUUUAGCAGUGCAGAGAGUUUUCUAUCUAUGUUGGGUGUUGAAUAUGGGAGUGGGUCCCUGUUCUUGGGAUGAUCCCGGUGUUGGAGCGAUGUUUGAUGAGUUGAGGUGAGGGGUACGAUGAUUUUGUGGUUCAGUCUAUGAGCCAGGGAUGUCAUUGAGCAGUUAAGUUGUUUGGUACUUGAUUGGUACGAGAUUUGGAACGACUAGAGGCAGUCGUGGCGAGCAGUUCUUGACGAGUUCAUCUGAGGAUCAGAGUUAUGAGAUCGAUUAAUUUCCUUAAAGGGGAUUAUCGGGUGUUGCGUAGCACUUUCCAGUGGCAGGUGCGUUAUUGCUGGUGGAAAUAGUUCGUAAGGUUAUUGAUGUGUAAGAUAGUGAUGGUUCGAACCCUAAGUGGGGGAGAACCGGGUGGUUUAUUGAGAGAACCAGAGAUUGGUGCAAGAGCGGUUAGGGGUUGGAUGCAGAACCUGCGGCUUGAAUUCAUGAGAUCAGGGUCAUGGGUGAUUAAGGAAGGUGCAGGGCGAGAUAAUGCAUGUGAUAUAUGUCUAAGAGAAGGAUGGGUGUCUCCACGGCGGGUGGUCAAUGAUCAGGAAUCUGAUGGUGGUCAGAGUCGUCUCGAGUGGAAGGCUCGUAAUGAUGGUAUGGGCAAUUGAGAACUUCUGGGUUGAGAUAUGGGUAGCUGAUUAUCGAGUAGCCAAUUCCUGGGCUAGGGUGUGUAUUCUUUCUUGAAUUUUGAGCGGUAGUGGAAAGGGUUUCGGAGGAUCAUCGGUGUGUUCUGAAGGGUUAGCGCCUUCCUUGUAUUCCAAUUGAGUGUUUGGAUGCACUGAAGUUGCGCAUCGUGUGAUAUCAGAAAUUAUUAUGGGAUUCAGAGGAAAUGUAUUGUCGUGAGUGUAUGGUAUUGGGAGUAAGGGAAUCAGUGGUUGUGGCAGGAUCUUGUGAUGUUCUGUUGGGAUAUUCCGAGGUAUCCGGGUAUGAUACCUUUAUUUCGGAGUUACUCGUAAAUCUUGAGUUGAAACGAUUUGUGGUGUAUCAGGUAUCUACGGAUCUAGUGGGAGCCCUUCGAGUAUGGGCAUCCAGGGAGAUUAUUAAGAGAAAGGAACUUUGCAAGGGUGGGCAUGUUGAUAUGUCGAUUGCUUCCAGAGUCUGGAAUGUGUAUUCGAGUCGAGUAUGGGUAGCUGCCUGUGAUAGUCUGCGGAGCAUGAGCUAGUGGAGUCAGAGGGUGUUGUGAUACUGCGGGGAGCCGUAGUACUCACUAGUCAGAGAGUGUUGUGAUACUGCGGGGAGCCGUAGUACUCACUAGUCAGAGGGUGUUGUGAUACUGCGGGGAGCCGUAGUACUCACUAGUCAGAGGGUGUUGUGAUACUGCGGGGAGCCGUAGUACUCACUAGAUGGCAAGAGAAUGUGAUGAUGGAAUGAUCUCCGAUCAGUGUAUGAUGUGGAAGAGUUUUGGGCUUGAGUAUCCCUAGUAUUGAGUUCUGGAGCCUGGGUGUUGAACCGGGGGCGAGACUGGGGUCACCGUCUCUGUCGGGAGAUGCGGUGAGAUGCGCAAGGGAUAUGCGUAGCAGAAACUAGAGAUCAGAGUUGAGGCGAUCCUCGGUUGGAUUGUAUUUUCUCGCAUGAGGAAAAGAGAAUUUUGUGACUUGCGCGUCUCUGGGCCGGGAUAGUGGUCACAGGGAGGAAGUUAGUGGGUUAUUUGGAUCAUGAUGAUGUCUGAGGACACUUCUGAGCGAAAGAGCGAUUCAGACACUCGAAGACAUGCUUCGGGUAUGUGUAUUAGAUCUCGGAGGGAGUUGCGGCACGUAUUUAUCAUUGGUUGAGUUAUCCUAUAUCAACAGCCAUCAUUAGUGCAUUUGUAUGACACCUUUUGAGCUGUUGUAUGGGAGGAGGUGUCGAACCCUCAUUUAUUGGGGAGAGGUAGCGCAUGGACCCGAGGGCCCUUGCGAGUAGAUCCAGAGCAUGUGUGAUACAUGGAGUAGUGGCAAGGUUGGCUAGUGGUUUCCCUGGGUAAGGGAAGAGAAAGGUAUGUACCCCUCGAGGGGGAGUGUUGGUUCACGGAAGUGAAAGUAGUAGUGAGAGUGGAUGAUUUGGAGUAUGGUGGUUGAACAUUGUGUCUGUGACAGUGGUAUGGAAUGACAUCAUGUUGGGAUGUCUGCUGAGGACGCGGAAGGGGUUCCGCGGGAGUAGGGCCAAGAGUCUCAGGAUGAAUGCAGGGAGGGAGUCGGGGACUCCCAGCUUGAUUCUGAUCAGGGUAUUGGAUAUGUACUAGUGGUUCAUCCUGGGGGGAUGUUGGAGGAUAUCAUCAGUGCAUCGGGUUUUUCCCAACCCGAGGGUACUGGGCAAGUUCAGCAUGCGUAUAUGAUUGCAAGAGGAGAACUCGUGGGAGUUGCUCUGAGAUUGAAGAGUGGGUCUUUCUGUCAGCACGGAAUGGAUAAAGUGGGAUUCGGAUCGGGGAUCCGAUGGUUCAUGGCUUUCUAGCCCUUAUGGGUCAAGCGAUUGUUGAGAUUUGGAGCAGUGAUGCAUCUCGGGUAAUUCUCGAUUGUUGAGUGUGAUUAUCAGAGGGUACAGCCGGUGCCCGGUUUGAGACGGUGGUCAGGACACCGCAAGGAAAGAGGAAGUGAGUUCGAGUUCGAUGGUUAUGCUAUGAGGAACCUGGUCCAGUUAGGGGCAGGUGGCGCGUCGUGGGAGUACUUUGGAAUUGAGUUGCCAUACGCUUCGAGGACGAAGCCUAAUUUAAGUGGGGGAGAAUUGUAACAUCCCGAAAUAUCAAGAGUAGAGUUGAAGGGCUAAAAGAGUAAGUUGUGAAAGAGUGACUCGGCGAGUCCAUGGAUGGACUCGGCGAGUAGAGUCGCGACUGGGUCGCGUGCUAAGUAGCCGACUCGGCGAGUCAGUGAGGAGGACUCGGCGAGUAGGCGCUGAUUGGAGAAAACCCUAAUUCUCGGGGUUGAGCCCUAUAUAAAGAACAUUAUGUUUUCCUCCCAGCCUCCUUAUCACCCCUUGAGCCCCAGAAAACCCUAAAUCGCGGAGAAGCACCAUUGUUGAGUGGAUUGGAGCUUGGAGAAGUAAUUGUUGAAGGAAUUUUGGGAGAUUGAAGGCUUGGAGCAAGGGGCUUUGCUUGGAUUCGAAUUACAUUGCAGUUGGGGCAUCUCUUGGAGGUAAUAUCUCGUUCUUGGGCUGUUAUUAUGUGUUUCUUCAUUUUGGGGUUUGUGGGAACUUGUCUAUGGAUGUAAUGGGAAGUCUAGAGGUUAGAUCUGAGGUUGCUACCUCAGAUCUGGAAGGGAGAAGAAUCAGAGAGCAUGAAAGUCCCUGUGUUGGAGUGUUUAGUGAAGCUUUCAUGUCCCAAACCCUAGCCCAAUGUGCAAAUGGCCUAGAUCUCUUUGGAUUCACGUAAAGUUUGCCACUUUACGUGAUGGAUGAGUGGUAGGAGGCUAGAUCUAUGUUUUGGAGCAAUUGCAUGGCCUGGAAUGCUUCUGAAUGGAUUCAGACCGGUGGUACUCGGCGAGUCACAUGGGUGUACUCGACGAGUUGGAUGAAGAUGGCCUGGAACUCGGCGAGUUGUAUGAACAACUCGGCGAGUAGGUUGAUGAUAGUCUUGGACUCGGCGAGUCUGUUCUUGGACUCGGCGAGUCUUGUCGAAGAGUCCCGAUAUUCCCUGGUUGAGUCGAGAAUCGGUGAGUCAAGGGAUGACUCGGUGAGUUGUGUGCGAGUGGACUCAGAGUUGUUGGACUCGGCGAGUCUCGGAGUGACUCGGCGAGUUAGGUCGCGGAUUGAGUGAAGUUCUGAUUAUAGGAACUCGGCGAGUCAUAGGGUUGACUCGGCGAGUAGGGUCAGUCAGGGGUUGACUUUGACUGAGGACUUUGAUUUUGACCAAGGGUUGACCGUUGACUUUUAGGGUUUGGUCAGCUAUGUGGCCUUUGGGCCAAGAGAGGGGAAAAAUAAUCUUUUACCCUUAAGAGGGUGCAUUGAGAGGAUUGAUUCUAGUCUCUAGAGUUAUAGUCAUGAGAGUUUUGCCUUACGUGUUAGGCGGUGGCGAGUUCGAGAUCCGAGUAUGGAGAUAUCUGCUUUCUGCUUGCCAGGUGAGUCUUCUCACUAUACUUUACCUUGAGUAGGUAACCAGAGUUAUGUGACAGAGUAUUUGUAUGCUAUGUAUGUUAUGUGUUGUACUGCAUUAUUUCUAUGUGAUUUAUGCUGUGCAUGUUUGCAGAGUUGGAACCGAAGGGUUCCUAGAGUUAGAACCGGAAGGUUCACAGAGUUAGAACCUGAGGGUUCACAGAGUUUGGGUGCACGGACCCAUAGAGUUAUAGCCUCGAGUGGCUUAUAUGUGUUAUGUGUGUGGUAUUUUGGGGAACUCACUAAGCUUCGUGCUUACAGUGUUUUGUGUUAUGUUGUUUUCAGGUUUCUUUCAGUAUCACGGGACGGCACCGGCUUGAUUGUACACACCAGAGAAAGAGUCAUAUUUUGGAGGAUCCUGGUUUUCUAUGCAAGUGAAAAUGGAGCUAUGUUUUGUAAUUCGAUUAUGAAUGAGAUUUUAAACAAGUGUUCUAAGAAUAAAAUGAUUAUUUAAAAUGAAAAUUUUGUCUUGAAAUUUACGGCGUUACAUCUUGCGUUAAAGGUUACAUAUCUACCGAGGGCACAUGCUUUUCACGAAAUUGUUGGAAUAGUGUCUAAGGCUGCAACUAUAUUAGGCAAGUAUUUGACUUGAUUGUGCAUGGUCCUUUUGGGUUGCCUUCACCAUACCAACUUGAUAGGAUGAUUUAUUAUGAGAGAAUAAAUAUUAUUGAUAUAUUAUGAGAGUAAUAUGAGGAAUAAUAAUAUUGUUACUUGAUUAAUAUAAGUCAUAGAUUAAUUAGUAUUAAUUUGGUGACUUAAAGAGAUUAAUUAAAUAAGAGGGUAUAAACUGUCAAUUGUUUGAUAGUUACACUUUGGACUGUAAAUCCUUCUUGCAUAGAGGAUGGAAGGAUUUUAGGGCUUGGGAUAGCCUCAAAUUCGUCCAAAGCUAUCUUAGGUAAGGAUUAGGAUUUCUCUAAGGAAAGAUUAUCCAACUAGGGUUUAAGGGUGAAACCCUAGGAGCCUUACAAGUAUAAAUAGACCCCCAGGGCAAGGGAAAUCGGCACCUCUGCUAAACCAAAGAAACCCUAGCCGAUUUCUAGCCCUUCUCCUCUCUCUCAAAUCAUCCUCCUUGCUAGUUGGUGUUUGUAAGCCAUUAGAGGAGUGACAAUUGUGACUCUAAGCUCCAAGGACAACAGGAUUCAAGCAUUCAAGAAGAGGUAAUCAUCUAGAUCUAUUCUAUUAUGUCAAUUUCGAAUUCUUUACUCCAGAUCUAGGGUUUGUAAGUCUUGGGUGAAAAGGAUUUUCAUUAGAGAAGCCUAGAUCCAAGCAUUAGGGUUUUCAUGUGCACAUAGGAGUGUUCUUAUGGCUCAAACCCGUUAGUGGUAUCAGAGUCAGGUUGGCUUCUCUUGAAUUUGAUGCUUUGUGUUUGUUUCUUUCUUGAAAAAAUCAUUUUUUUUCUCUCUUCCUAAUGAAAUCGACGAGUCCCAUUGUGGACUCGAUGAGUCCGUAUGGGGACUCAGCNGCCUUUAUCAUAUUAGAUCGACCCUAAUCCGAUUUUUUGAUAUAUAUGACUACAAUCUUGAUCUAAUUAAAGAAAUUUAUCAAUUAAUAAAAUAUUUAAUUUCCUUAUGUGAUAAUUAUUUAAUUAUUUUGAUUAAAUUGGUAAUUAUCUUGCAAGAAUCAUGAAAUAAAUCAAAUAUGGAUAAUUAAGGAAUUAAUUGUUAAUUGAGAUUAUUUGUUAUUUGAUCCUCCAUGUUUUAAAUUUUUAAAACUUGUCCCCAAGUUUUGAAAUUUAUGUUUUGUGAUUAAAAGUUUUUAAUUUAGAAAAUUUAAAUUUCAAACCCUAGAUUUUUACAAGUUUAAAAUACAACCNNNNNNNNNNNNNNNNNNNNNNNNNNNNNNNNNNNNNNNNNNNNNNNNNNNNNNNNNNNNNNNNNNNNNNNNNNNNNNNNNNNNNNNNNNNNNNNNNNNNNNNNNNNNNNNNNNNNNNNNNNNNNNNNNNNNNNNNNNNNNNNNNNNNNNNNNNNNNNNNNNNNNNNNNNNNNNNNNNNNNNNNNNNNNNNNNNNNNNNNNNNNNNNNNNNNNNNNNNNNNNNNNNNNNNNNNNNNNNNNNNNNNNNNNNNNNNNNNNNNNNNNNNNNNNNNNNNNNNNNNNNNNNNNNNNNNNNAAAAUUUCCCAAUCUUAGUUACUUUAGGAAAAGUGAAUUGAUGCAAUCCCAUGAAAUUACACUUUGCACCCUUGCUAAGAAGUUAAUGGAGCUUGUGUGGUUUACCGGCACAACAAUUGGUUCUAAGCGAAGGUGGCAAAGGGUGAUUCAUUGUUUAUCAUAGUUCAAUGGAGCGUGUGUGGUUUACCGGCACAUCGAAUGGGUGAUCGUUACAAUGAAGGCACCAUGUGAAUUUGCAUGGUAAUUCACACCCGCUUUGUGAUCCUCGGUAUCCCAGUCACAAACAAGAGGGGCAUAUCGAGAUUUAAACAUGCCAUUGAAAUGUUUCAAUGAAUCUCAUCUAAACCUAGGAAUUCUCAAAUUCAUUUAGAACUUAAAGUUAGGUUUUCAUGGUGGAGAAUUAGUGAAUCGUCAUUCACUUACCUUCAUAUUAUUUGCAUGUUAGAUUACGGCAUCCCUUUUCUAAUAUGUAAAUAUUGUUGUUGGAUCCUAGCCCUAAUUUUUCUUAUUGGGUGAUAAUUAGGGAUUCAUAUUCUAAUCUAUCUUUGUCCUUUCUAUUUGUAGAUGUCGAACGCAAACAACGCUGCUGCUAGUUCUUUCACAUUGAUGAGCCUUUGUCAAAAGGUCACUUUCGAUGGGACGAACUUUAGCGAAUGGAUAAGAUACAUUCGCACCAUUGCUCGCUAUGAGGAUAAGGAGUAUGUCCUCGAUGAGAAGCUCGAGAAAAUCAACCCUGAAAUCGCUACUCCGGCUGAAAUGACCGCUUUUGAAACUCACGAGCGUGAUGCAACGAAGGUACAUUGCAUCAUGAUAGCCACUAUGAACUCCGAAUUCCAAAAGUCCUAUGAGGACAUGUACCCGUACGAGAUGCAUCAAGACUUAUUGGAGAGAUACCACCAAAACGCG
rnacentral:lncRNA from 1 species